rnacentral:lncRNA from 1 species
GUCGGUGGAGAUCUCCCACGAAACAGAGUUCUGAUUGGCCUCGGCAGGUGGGUGGGCGCCCAGAGGAACAGGGCGGGUGCGCUGCCUCUAGCCCCGUUUUAUCUCCGCUUCGGUCUCAUGGCUUCUAGAGUCUUCUAGAUGUAAGAUAAUUGUGCGGCACGUUAAUAUCUCUAUGUAAUCCCGACGUGUGGGCCUUUCUUCCGUAUUUCCUGAUAACCCCCUGCAGAAAUAGACAAACGCCAAAACUCGUGGAAUUCUGUCAGAUAAAACACUAAGUCUAGAUGUUGAUUUCAUUUGGAUCCUUUUCUUUGUUUAUUUGAUAAUUAAAUUUGAUACUUAAGGACCGUGAACAAACUCCCCCAAGCUUACCUCUUGCUCGUCCCUGAGCAAGGAUAGACUCAGCAAUGGAUCAGAAGUUGUUGCAAUAUCUUAAAAUUUUGACGGUACACAUGCUUUUAAAUAAGAUCUCAUCUCCGAGUUAGAGUAAACUGUCAAGAACUAAAACUUACUUUACCUUUCACAAUGGGACUUGUAACCAUCACUUCUGUCUUGAGUAGUUAAAAGAUAGAACAGUCUAGCCAAGUGCCAUGUCUCUUAUUCUUGAUCAGCUAUAGCUCUGGAGUUUUUGCAGAUUUUCAAAUAAAACUCAGAGAUUCCUUGUAUGACUCUCUAAAUCUCUCUUUUGUGGUAUUUCUGGAUCCUUACCAAGGCAGUGAUGGUAUAUGCCUUCUCUCAAGAUAUGUGGUAUUUGUGGUAUAAGGCAUAGUGACAUUGCCUUCUCUCUCACCCUACUCUAAUAAGGCUUUAAUAUGUGGAGCUCAUAGGUGGGAGAUAAAGUAUACAUACUUACAAGACAUUUAUUGUAUACUCAAACCAUGGAUCCAAAGAAACAAAUCAAUAAGCCAAAUCAAGAUGUGCAUGUGUGGCGAAUGAAUGGUGUAUGGUGAUGAUGGUGAUAACAAUGGUGAAAGUCUAAUUCUACUUUUGCUCUUUUGAGGGGAUACAUACCUUCCUUGCUUUUUGAAACUUUAUGAGGAGAAUGAGAUGCUCUAUCUUUCAUUUUUCUUUCCUCUCAGGUGGGUAUCCUGUACCCCUAAUUCUACUGUCGGACACUUGUCCAUUUUUACCUCUCGUCUCACUCUUUUUUUCUUUUGAGGUUCCGGGCACUUGCCCCUUUUUAUUUUCUCGUUUAUUUUUUUUCUUCUUUUUUUUCAGAGCACUCAUCUCUUGAGAUAAUAUAGCAAGUGGUAGUAGCAAGAUAACUUGAGCAUUUAUUUCACAAGGGAAAACAGAAAUAUUUUUGGCUAUUCUCUCCCGGAUUAGGAGUAGAAUAUUUUUGGGUGGUUCUGGAGAUGGACAUGGAUGGAUAUAUGUGGAUGGUACUUCCGGAGUAGAAGUAGCAUAUAUGAGUGAACGUGCAAGUGAAAUCUUGAUUUAAACACAUGACAAGCUCCUAAGGGUCUACACAGCUUGACCACACUCAAUGCUCAUAAUCAGUAAAUCAUAAAUGUGUGGCUCAAAGUCUAGCAAGCAUGUAUAUAUGGCUGUGGUAGGAAUUUAAACUCUCAUCAUACAGAAACUCAUCAUGCAAUAUUUUAAUGAUUUUUCAAAGAUAAAAUUCUCCAAAAUUCUAGCAUCUCUAGGAAUAGAUAAACAACAGCUCAACCUUCCCAUAUCAUAUCCGUUAACAACUUAGAUUACAGAUCAAGGUUUCAUCCCAUAAGUUUAGAUCUAGAGCAAGCUUUAAAUUAUAACAGUUAUGUCUAAACUUGAGAGAGAACUUCAAAUUUGCAAAUUAUGCAGCGCAACUAUUCAUCAUAUCCAUGCUAGAGUUUUAUUAUUAAGAUUCAGAUUAGCAUAGCCACUUUAUUUAUUUAUUAAACACACUAAGCAAAAGAUAUAUAUAUAUAUAUAAGCACAAAAAUCUUUAUUUGGUUUUUCAUAGUUUAUGUAUUUUAAUAUUCUAAUAUAAUAUAAGUAUAAAGAUAGGUAGAAAUACUUAGCGAGAUAAAUGGGGGUGCUCUCCCCCAAGCUGAAUUUUGACAUAAUUUCUCUUGAUGUAGCUAGCAGGUGGCAGAGGUGUAUUUGAAAGUCAGCAGCAUUCUGACAGCGAUUAGAAUGUCCUCCGUCUGCUAGUCUUCUUGAUUCUUAAAUUUUGUGGAGCUCAAAUAGACAACAAAGCUUGUGGAACUAAUUAAGUGUUAGCAUAAAUAUCUAGCCUUCAUCAUGUUGAGCUUCCUCAAUAAAUAUUACUCCCUGUUUUUAUAUUUUUAUUUUAUAAAGCAGAAAAGAAAUAUUUAUUUUAUUUUUAUGCCACCACAGUGAAGGUACUUAUGGGUUUUAUGCCACUCGUAUACUCACAUGGGGCUUAGUAUUUUUUAACAUUUUUAUUUUCUUUUCAAAAUAGCAUGAUUAACUAAUAAUCUAUUUAAGGAAAGUAAAUAAUUAAAGGGAAAAAGGGAAUGCAGAAAGGAUAAAUAUGGAUAACUACCGAUCUUACCUUUCGGCAAGGGUUCAAUGUUUUAAGUCUUCUUAACAAGACUGCUCACCGUGUUCAUUCUUCAGGUGCGUCAUUUGAUUCAGGUGCGGACCUUGACGUCUGCACAUCUUGAUACGGUGUCACCCAUGUUCUUCAUUUGCCCAGCAGUUCGAAGUGUAGCGUUGGCAGCUUCCUGCACAGUGUGUUUGUGCUCGUAGUGUACCUGCUCAUAGAGACAAGGCAGAGAUCAAGUGCAUGGGUCCUGUUGGUGGAAAACACCAACAGAACCUAAAGUGUAUUUGUUCUUCUCUAACCCUAAGCAUAGUGAGCAAGACAAAGUUGAUGGAUGAAAAGUUCAUGAGUGUAGCACUUAUAGCAUUUGUCAGAUCAGAUCGCUCAACCUUAUGGAGAGAUAAUCUAUCUAUGUAUAUGUCGUUUUCUUUAUAUCUCUCAAUGAUUGAAUGUGUAACAUUUUAGCUCAUAUGAUUAGGAGUGUGGGAUCAUGGAGGUAGUACUAAGAACAAGGAUUAAAGGACUAAGCAUGUUGAAUUAGUUGGGUUGGUUAAUCUAGAGUUGCAAAUCAUACAUGUUUGUCUCUUUUAUUUAUAUGAACGCUAGAACCAAGGAGAAGCUUAUAAAAGUGAUAGUCCAGUACCUUAAGAUGUUACCUUGCUUGAAGAGUGAUGGUACAGUAUUAUCUUAUGGAAGCUUUCCUUUCUUAGUGGUUGUGCAUCGUGUUUGUGGCACCCUCCAUGGAUCAUCUCUCUAUGAUGAAUGAGCUAUGUCCUUCUUGUGCAAAUUGUUAAACUUCAUGUGUCACUCUCUUCGUCUCUGAUGUGAGUUUAUCUCAGGACUUCCCAAAUCGAUAUUGAAAGUUUUUCUGCAGGGGUUAGUCCGACAAAAAUAUACCAAUGUCUACACAAGCAGUUUUUAGUUCAAUAACCGAACUAGACUCCAUGUCUAACCAGAUUAAGGAAGGCUAUUUAACCUAAGCACCAUGAUUAAUUUAAAAGCCAAUAGAAGUAUGUGCAGUACUUCCAAACUAACACUUACUAGUAAAUAGACAAAGGUAACAUGACAACAUUUAUAGAGAUCUACUCAAGUGGAGAUGAAGUAGUGUGAUUAGUAUUUAACAAAUUGAGCAUGUCUCAAAGGUAGGGACAACCAACAUAGCAACAUGGCAAAGGAUGAUUUUAUGUAAAGUACUCCCCCAAGCUUGAAUUCUGCAGAAUUCAAGUUCGGAUGAAUUUAAUUCAGUGUUGCAUGAUGAUUGGUUGGACAUACCUUGUACUUGCUUGUCAUUCAUCCGAUCUUCUUGCUCCAAUCCUGGAAAGGUUAGUGACAAGAAUACCCGAAGGAAUAUUUUUACAAUUAUCCUUAUAUGCUCAAUACACAAGGUAAUGUUGCAAAUAAUUAAAAACUCAUGUUACGAUCUGAUCAGUGCUUAUUUUAGGACACCAAGCUUGUCCUUGGGAAACCAUCAAUUUAUGUCGGCGAAGUGGUUUCCCUUCCAACGCUGACCUAAAUCAAGAUCAACUCAACGAGAUCUGCAAUAUUUAUUAUAGACAUAUGCAUCGACAACCGCCCUUUUAAAGUUUUUAUAAAUAGAAAGGAAGAGGGGGUUGGAGAUCUCAAAUGUGGUGAUGUUGGAGAGACCAAUAGAUUGGGAAGAUGUUGCACAUGAGCAUGGAGUAAACAAAGUGGCUAUGAAAUAAAUUCCAUGCUCAUUAAUGUUAUCUUCGUCUCCAAUCUGAAUGUUCAGAGUUUCUCUUGGAUUGGUCUCACUUAUGUCCUCUUCUAUAGUUGGAUGAAUCUCAUCUUCAAAGAGAGUCAAGAACUCACCAUUUGAAAUUGAACCAAAGUCAGAAUUCAUUAAGGCUUCUUCCAUAUCCAUCCAUUCUACACAUUCUAGCCAUUUAGACUUGUGAUCAGGAAAGGGGAGGUGUUAGAAUUUUCAAUAUGGCUUAGCUCUCCUUCAAUUGAUAUGUCAUCCUCGACUUCUUCAUAACAGGAACCAGGACCUUCUCUAAGAAAACCAUUAUUGCGAGGAUUUGAAUUAUCCCUGCUUGAAGGUCUCUUAUGGAACCAGAAGUCUAAACCAUCAGCAUCUGAAAGAUUUAAGGUCAGAAUUCCUUCCUCCCUUGGAGAAUUUUGGGGUAUUGAUGGUUUAGGAUCGAUAGCUAAAGUUUGGAAUUGAAGUGGUUGUGAUCUGGCUAUCGAAACUUCUUCUUCUUGUCUAGGAACAGGUUCUGUCUCUUUCUCAGGGAUAUAAAAGCUAGGAGACUUUCCACUUAAUAAAUCAAUCAAAUUCCAAGCUUCACUAGCAGGUAGGUGAUAGAAGGAUCCUCUAGAGGAUGUAUUCAAGGUUUGCUUAUUUUCCCCAUUAAGGCCCUCAAAAAAGUGAAUUAGAAGAACUUCUUCUGGAAUAGAAAGCUUUGGGCCAGUGAGAGUAAGGUUAAUAAAGCGGUCCCAUGAUUUCCUAAGAGAUUCUUCUUCCAGUUGUCUAAAAGAAAUAAUCUCACGCCGAAGUUCUGCCACUUUGGAGAUUGGAAAAUAUUUAGAAAGAAAACUACUAUAUAACUCCUUCCAAUCUCCAUGAACACUUCCUACUUUGAGUUUGUACCAAUGUCUGGCUUUUCCCGUUAAAGAGAACGGAAAGAGCUUCCAUUUAAGGGUCUCAUCGGACAUGCCUUCUAUGCGAAGGAGGUCACUGACUCGAUAAAACUCUCUUAGGUGUGUGUAUGGGUUUUCCUCACCUUCUCCUGAGAAAGGUUGUUUUUGAACAAAUUCUAUGUAUUCGGGGUCUAUCUCAAAACUAGAUGUCAUGAUAGGCUUUGAAGAUUUUGGUGGUUCGAGAUGUGUGCCCGUAGGUCUAUGAAAUUCAUAGAUAGACAUGUUUGAAUUCAAGAUAGACCAGAGAUCAAGGAUUAGACAAGAAGAAAGAUUAGCAGAGAUGAGGCAAAGGAUAAAAGGAAAAUAUUUUUUUUAUUUUUUUAUAAAAUGAUUAAGCUAGUUCGUAGUCAACUCAGCAACCGUUUCCCCGGCAACGGCGCCAAAAAUGCUUGUUGACACUUGCUAACACCACUUGAAUACUAGGUUGUCAUCCCCAGCAUGGCACUAGAGUGUACUAUGGUAUUUAUACGCACAUAGAUAAUCCACAAGCGCAUGGAUACCGUUGAAGCUUUUACCUGGUUAAAGGUUUAUCGUAUCCACAGGGAAACGGGAGAACCAACUACGCUCUAACUCAACCAAGAUAGAUAGAUAGGUGUAAAUAGGAAAGAUGGUAGAAUCGAAUAAGAACAAUAUUAAAGGUAAGAUAACACUGAGUGAUAAUAUGGGAAUAGAGAAUAGAGCAAUCUAGUAUAUGGGCGAUGGUAGCAGAAUAGAGAGGAUAACUAUGGUUUCUCUACUUCAAAGGGGUAUGUCUAUGUCUGGGACGAACCAUGUGAUAAGAGUACACCACAAAGGAUGCUUAUCCUUAGGCCGAUAAACCCUACCCGUCCUGCUAACGAGAGGUGGACUACAGAGGACCAACGUAACUAUCACCUACGUGGCCUACCACACGAUCCAGCUAGACAGGGGAUAUCCACAAGUAAUCUAGACCUAAGCACCUCGCUUACACAUAUACUACAACUCUAACCUAUAGCGUCCUAUAGAUUAGAAGUACUCAAAAGAGUUGUGAACCAGAACAUACAUGAUUAGUAAUUGCAUAAUGAAUUAGAAGUAGAUUACUAGAGUCAUCCCAUGAGCAAGCUUGAUUAGAGCUUGAUCAUGACGAAGUACAACUGGAGGAAGAACCGACAGGCCGGCCUCUCCUCUAAUCCUCCUUUGCUCUCCAUCUUGCUACUAUCUAGAUCUACUCUAGUUUAGAGAAGAGAGGAGAGCUCUCAUCUCUAAACCCUAGCUUUUGCUCGGUCUAUGAAUAAUGAAUAAUGAUCAAGGGGUGCCUCCUCCAGGGGCCAGGGGGUCUGGUUAUAUAGUCCCUUCAAGUGAAUAUGGGUCGUUGGAUCAAACCGACUUAGAUUGUAUGGUUUAGAUUGAUCCUUUAGGUCGGUGGAGAUCUCCCACGAAACAGAGUUCUGAUUGGCCUCGGCAGGUGGGCGGGCGCCCAGAGGAACAGGGCGGGCGCCCUGCCUCUGGCCCCGUUUCGUCUCUGCUUCGGUCUCGUGGCUUCUAGAGUCUUCUAGAUGUAAGAUAAUUGUGCGGCACGUUAAUAUCUCUAUGUAAUCCCGACGUGUGGGCCUUUCUUCCGUAUUUCCUGAUAACCCCCUGCAGAAAUAGACAAACACCAAAACUCGUGGAAUUCUGUCAGAUAAAACCCUAAGUCUAGAUGUUGAUUUCAUUUGGAUCCUUUUCUUUGUUUAUUUGAUAAUUAAAUUUGAUACUUAAGGACCGUCAACAAUGUGCAUUACAUAUGCUUGCUUGCAUAGCACUAUUUUUUGAUACAUACUUAUGUGAUGUUUGCUAGUUGUAAAAUUAAUUUAUGAAAUGAAAAACUAGCAUGUGUAGGAUAAUAGUUAGAUGUGCCAGCAUGUUUUGUUUUUACAAGUGGUACUAGAGCCUUGUUUAUAAUGUUGAUCUCACGAGGUAUCUAGUGUUUAUGUUUGCAAGAGCUAUCUAACUAACCAUGGUGCCAAGGAUGGUGUUCAAAUGGCAACUCUGAUUGGUAUCACGCUUCAAAGGUCAUUCUUUACACCUUAGCAUCAUUUGGUAGUCUUUGUCUCCUAUGUUUCCUAUCUAAGCAUAUGUGCAAGCUUUCAAAUCCAAACUCUUAGCACAUAUGUAGGGGGAGCCAAUGCUACCAAUUUGGGUUUAUAAAACUUAUCCAUAUCCUUUACACAUGGUAAAAUGCUUCGGCAAGCAACAUGAACCUAAAAAGAUUUUAUUGAAUAUCUUUGUGAAAAGGUUGUCAUCAAUUACCAAAAAGGGGGAGAUUGAAAGUCCUAGUUUGGUUUUGGAUAAUUGAUGAAACCUAUGUGUACUAACCUUUGUCAUUAGUGAAAUAUAAGGAUAGGUCGGUACACACCAAGUGAUGGAGCCAGGUGAUGGUCAUGGUGAUGGAGGUGAUCAAAAGAUGAUAUUCAAGUGCUCCAACUUGGAAAAAAGAAAGAUAAAAACAAAAUGGGCUCAAUGUAAAGGUAUUUUUAUUAGGGCCAUUUUGUUUUACCACUCAAGACACCUAGCGGGUGUGAGUGGAUUUAGGAUAGAUAAUUGUACUAUAAAGAGGGGAAAUCUUUAAUUGCAAUAGUUAUGUAGUGCCACUAAGUGUGAGUCUCAUUUGCAUAUACCUAGCACUUAGUGACGUGGUGAGUUGCAUGAGAAAGCCUAUAAAAAUGAUUGUGAAAUGCUAACACACAUGCAGAUGUGUUGGCAUUUCAUAGCAUCAUCACAAAAGAUAGACUAAAAAUCCAUCCCUGCAACAGCGCCAGAAAGCCUGUUGACUCUAGAAGUGGCAAAUGGAAAUACCGUAAGCAUAUGGUAGUCAAUGUAGCUUUCACCGGGAGUAUUCCAGGUAUCGUAUUUUCCACGAGGAACGUGAAGUGAACUAACUAGGCUCAAGGUCAUCCAAAAGGUCAAGGAUAGGUAAGGAUAGGUAAGUGAUCUCACACAGAUCCUAAUCUAAAGAUAACUGGUAGAGAACUAGCGAGGUGGGAGGACAACGAGUGAGAAAAGACUCCUCUGACUCUAACUUUACUCCUGUGAACCAAUCUAAUCUAGUAGCAGACACACACUAACGUUGCUAAACUUAACUGCUUGUUUGCUGGAAGUCGACUGCAAUAGGAGGACAAAACUCCUAUCCAAGCGGACUUGUUUCCUAUGGGCGCCUACAGAUCAGACCCGACAUGAAUAGAACCUAUUGGGAAGCAGAGGCCUGUCACGCUUCCCGCCGCCCGCUAUCACGUUUGAUACGGUGGUAUUCAAGGGCAGGCUUUAGUCUAAGCGGACUCAUUUGGAAACGUGGAUGGUGUAUUUUCCUAGCAAAAUUUUUGUUGCUUUCUCCCAAUAUAGGAGAAGAGAAUUUUUUUUUGGUGGAUGGAAGGGUGCAUGUUGCGCGCAAUCCUCAGUGUAAGAAUUGGCUUUAUUUGGUGGGUGCAAAGUGUGUCUCAGUCUAAACAUAUGACUCCAAUCUAUGUUAAGUUCAAUCCUUGACAAAACCCCAACAAUAACAAGUAGCUAUGGCUAAAGUAUGUAUUUAUAUAUAUAUAUAUGGAGCAUAAAUGUUUGGCCUUGGUAGGAAUUUUAUAAUAUUUGAGGAACCAUUGUUUUUAGAUAUUUUUCUGAAUAAAUUCUUUGAUAAUCAUGCAAGCUUAGAAAUAAAUAUAGCAGCUCUUGUCUUACUAUCUCAUAUCUCACAACUUAGUCGUAGUUUUAGCACUUGCAACCCACAGAAAGAAAUCAGGUUCAUGGUGGUCUUAAGUGAGCCAAGUGAUUCAUACAUAGAAAAAUACUAAGUUGAGUGCUAGAUACUAGAGAAAUAUUAACAGAGAAACUAUUCAUCAUUUCCAAGAGAAAGGUGGCAUGCAUGGCAAUAUUUUUGGGAUUUUUAUCAUAUUCAAAUAUAUAUAUUAUUAUUUUUAUUCUUUGUUAUUUUUUAUAUUUUUUAAACAUGAAGCAUAGAACAAACUACAAUUGCAAUAAAUUUAAAAGAGCUAAAAUACUUACCUUUGUGGGGGAGAGGAUCUCCUCCAAGCUUGUCUCUUCUCAUGCCUCCUCACUGAUAUGGUGGAUAGUCAUAUGGAUAUGGUGGAGGAUAUGAGGGCUGCUGAGGAUAUGGUGGAGGGUACUGUGGACAUGGGUCUUGCUGCUACUGUGGUGGCAUAGGGAUGAAUGGAAUAUUUGGUGCUAGUGGCCUCUGAUAGUGUGCAUACAUCCUGUUUAAGCUUAUGUUGUGUUGGACUUGGAGAUCUAGGAGGGCUUAAUAGGUUUGAGUUGCAGUGUUUUGCAUAGCCUCAUGUCCAAUGCAUAGCACACCAAUUUGUUGGGUUAGCAUGUCCAUAUCAAUGCGUUGAGCACGGGGCUGUGAAUCCUGCAAAGAAGAACAAGAUAUACGGCCACUCUGGGCACCAGACCUGCGUCCCAAAUGGGGCAUCUGCAUCCCACUAAAACUUCCCUCAUAGUUACUAUCAUCAUCAUCACCUGCAGCUCGUGCUUUUGCACGUGUGGUUGGUCCUGUAUGCCUCAUAUGUCUUUUGCACAUAGGGAGUAAUGGGUUGCCACUAUAUAUUUUUAGUUCUUCGCAGGGCAACAGAAUUGUUUCAUGGGCAUUAUAAACUUUUAAAAACACAGUGUUAUUUGCUCCUCCCGUAAGAUAUUGGCCCUUGAUAUAAAAUCUUUUGUGCAACACAACUCUAGGAGUAGUUAUGUAUCUAUCAAAGUUAUUGAGCAGAUUAAGGCGUGCACAAAAUUUUGUAACCAUAGAAGUAAAUUCAAUGGUUCACCUCCUCGGUUGGGAUGAUGCCCAUAACCAAUACAUAGCCAUUUCUACCACUAGUGAAAUUGGAAUUUUAUGAACCAUGGCAAAAAGGAUUCUAGUGUCUAUUUCUCUGACAGUUCUUAUGUCAUCUCGAGGGAUCAAAGUUAGUCCUAUCCACAGGUGCAAGAAAAGCAAGGUAGGAUUGCAUAUGUGACUAGUACUUGGUUGCCAUCCCACGUAAUUUUACCCAAUGAUAUCAUACCAAAAUUCUUUCUUGUUCAUGUCUUAGUGGCAUGCUCAAUUUUAAUGUUGGGAAUAUCAAAACCAAGACAUGUAGAGAAAGCAUCCCAUGGAAUGUCAAACUCACUAUUAAGCAUUUUAAAAUAAAUUUUCUCUUUUGUUAUUCUUAGAGUGCUUAGAAAUUCUAGGGUGAGAAUUUUACUUCCUUUUACAUUAAUGUAAAUACCGAAAACGUAUUUCAAAAUACACUGAGUCGGUUUUACGCUUUCAUGUAAUGGAAAACGCAUUUUGCGGAGUGCGCUGAUGGACUGCGGGUUUAUACUUAAAAAGGGCAGGGGGUCUUUAGAAAAAUUUCAAGUGAAGGGGUAAGAUAUGUUUCGACCCUUGAUCUCUAAACCGACGGCUACGAUCCACCCAGGGGAGUGACGCUGUCGACGAAAGCUAGUCGGCAGUCUACCUUGGGGUAUACCCACGGUAGUAGUUUAUCGGUAGACGGUGCGUGAACUACGAACUCGACGGUGACGCAAGACACGGACAAGCUUUUUAUCCAGGUUCGGCCGCCGAGUUGGCGUAAUACCUACGUCCUGCGUCUGGUUGUAUUGAUUUGUGCUGAGAGAAUAUGAUGUCCUAGGGGGGUCCCUUGCCCCUCCUUAUAUAGUCUGGAGGGCAGGGUUACAGAUCUAGAAACUAAUCCUAGUCGGCUACAAUUGCCAUAGAUAAUUCGACAUCAAUUCCUAUUCUAACCGACUAGAAUCCUGCUUGAUCUCCACGUCUUGUUUCCUUGUGCGAAACUCCGAGCUGUCGGAUCAAACCUUGAACUCGUCUCGUAGUGGGCCAAGCUUCCUGGCUAAAGUCUAGCCGUAAGGGUAUAGGGGUUUAUACCCCCACAGCUAGUCCCCGAGCACCAUGUAUUGUGAUGCAACACGCCGUCUUGAGCUUCUUCGAUCAGCGAGGCUUGUCGUCUUCAAUAAGUUGGAAAAUCGCCCAAACAGUCACAACGGUUCCUUGACCAACUCGAAAGACAGUUGAUCAACAUUGACGUCGAAGAAACAGGUUGUUCGAAGAAUGCAUGGUGCUCUAGAAAAAAUUUCUUUCCCGGUGAAGUGUGCCCACUUUACCUUUUUGAAAGGUAGAGGAAUCAAAAAAGCAAGCAAAUUCACUGCUAGGUGAAGUGUGCCCACUUAGUCCCCGAGCCUGGUAGUAGGUGACGUAGGCACGUGGUGCCAGGGUCAAAAGAAAAUUCCCCAAAGUAGUUUUGAGACUGAGAUGCAUCGCUAGAUGCAUCGUACCGAUGUAGUCCCCGAGCUUGCUGGAAGGCAAAGUAUGAGCCUUGUAGCAAGGUCUAAAAAAUUGAAUUUACCAGUCCCCGAGCAUGUCAUGCUCGUCUGCAAUUGAAAAGACCAAUCGACCAGUCCCCAAGCACUUAGUGUGCUUCUUGGAAUUAUAUGUUGCUAUACUGUACGACCAGUCCCCGAGCGUCGAGUGCUCAGUGGUCGGUGCAUGCUUUAAAGCUUUGAGCUGAUAGACUGAGCGACCAGUCCCCGAGCGUCGAGUGCUCGGUGGUCGGUGCAGUCCUUGAAGUUCCGUGCUGAUAGAAUGGGCGACCAGUCCCCGAGCGUCGAGUGCUCGGUGGUCGGUGCAGUCCUUGAAGUUCCGAGCCGAUAGACUGGGCGACCAGUCCCCGAGCGUCGAGUGCUCAGUGGUCGGUGCAGUCCCCGGAUUGUUGACUCACUGGCGUGUGUGUCUUCUUACUUUUGAAAAGGUCUUUCCAGUUAAAGUUGACGUGACGGGGUCUCCUGACGAUAUGUCAGACGGAUGCAUGAAAAGCUGCACCUGGCAACUGUACAACCGCUCUUUGCAUGGUUUGAGAAAAGGAAACCAUCAAUUGGUACGAAAACUCCGCCGCAUUAAUUGUCUAUAAUCAUUGUAAACCGAAACGCCGCGUCCGCCGCAUGGCCUGCCCACUUCCCGAGAAUACAGGAAGUGGGAGAGGUGGGAUCGCAGGUUUAUAAGGGCCUAAUAGGACCGGCUGUACCGCUUCUCCUGCCAUUGCCUUCAAACCUUCCACUCUCAUCUCCUGCAUCUUCCUAACUCCAGCCCGCAUUCGCACCUCUAAUGGCGAAGAGCGACUCCAGGAAGAGGGCCGAACUGAUGGCCAAGGAGUGGAAGAAGUCUCGCAGUACCACAAAAUCUCUUGGUGACCUCGUCGAUAUGGGGCUUCUGCACGGCGCAGAGCUCGGCGGCUGGAGGGCACCGGAGGGGGAGAGCUACCCCGACCCUCGCGCCGGUGAGAUCGUCGUUUUUGAAGAUUUCGUUAAGAGAGGCUUUGGUGUCCCUGUUCAUCCUUUUCUUCAAGGUCUUCUUUUGUACUAUGAGAUCGGGAUUUGCAAUCUGCACCCGAACUCAAUUCUCCUUAUUUCCACCUUCAUCCACCUGUGCGAGGCCUAUGUUGGCAUAGAGCCGCACUUCGAUCUUUUCCGGUAUCUUUUCUGUCUGAGGAAGAAGGGAGCAGUUGGAGGCUCCAAGGUUGCAGGUGGAGUAUACCUCAACCUUCGUGAUGGGAUGAAGAAUCGCUACCUGCACUGCCCAUGGAACACUUCCUUGACCGAAUGGUACAGGAAGUGGUUCUACAUCAGGGAGGAACCGGGCAGCUCCACGUUCUGCGACGUGGGAUACGUUCCCGAGAAGAGGGCAAGCUGGACCGACCGCCCGGAGUUCGACGGUCCAGUGGCGGAUCUCAUGAAGCUGAUCGACUGGUCGCGCCUAGACGGGCUUGGCGUGGUCGGCAACUUCAUUUGCCGCCGGGUGAUGCCCUGCCAGAAGAGGGUGCACUCGGCGUACGAGUAUGCCGGAAGCGCAGACCCGACCAGGAUGCGGUCAGAGAUCUUGGAGAAAGCGGAGGUACAACAGCUGUUGAAUGAGCUGUUUAACUUCGCGGAUGGGGGCUUCAUCCGUGGCAGUGAUCGGGUGCAAGCCUUCAAGUUAGGACGACCAGCACCAAAGGUAUGUAGCAGAGUCUGUUUGAUCAUUCGUAUAUCGUCUGCAGUUAACUCAUCUCUGUUGCUUUUGCAGGUCGGUGAUGUCGACCGGUGCGCAGUGUAUGUAUCACUGGCACCGGGGAUGGAAGAUCCUGUGGGAGAGGUCCCGCCAGAGGGGGACGCUGCUCGGUGUGCUCAUUACACCAGCAGUGAGGAAGACCGAGCCCGCCCCGUCCCGACCUCCGAGGAGAGGGUAGCGGGGAAAAGGCCAUUGCCGGCAGAUCCCUUGCCGACACCGGAGCUGCCGGCAGAUCUACCGGCGGAGAGCAGCCAAGCGCCGAAGCGUCGUCGGCUCGUGCGGAUCGUCGACGACGACGACGAGGAGGAGGCUGCGCCGUCGUUGGUCCGACGGCCUCGGAGCCGCCCAGACACUGCGCCGGUCGCCACUGAUCGAGUGGCCAGCGGCGCCGCUGCCCCGCAAGGUGUCGAGACGGGGGCACAGGUGCCGACCGGACGGGCGAGGAGGAGGUUCACCGCGACCCACCGUCGGUCAGACCUGUAAGUGUUCGACUUACGUAUUUUGGACUCCUCUUUUUUUUUAAAACUUUUGUUCCUGUAGUGCGGCAUCGGAUGUCGACCCUGGUCAAACUGUCAGCCAGGGAGCGGGCGAGCCUGCCCGCGGUUCUGGGGAUGCGGCCCCCCAGACCACAGAGCAGCCAACAGCUGCAGUCGCGCCUGGGAGCACCGAGGGGCUCCCGAGCGCGGCACCGACUACAACAAGCAGCCCGACCAGGGCUGGAGAGGCUCCCCCAACUGACUCCUCGGAGAAGGGAAGAUCUCCGACGGCUCCUCCUGCCGGGGGGAGUGAAGUCCCCCCGCCGCCCCGAGCAGGAGCCUCUUCGGCUGCGGGCUCCCCAGGUCUGGUCCGAGGGACAGUAAUGCCUGGGACCACCACCGGGGGUGACGCAGCACCGGAGGAGGAAACCCGGGCGGCCUCCGACGACGAGGUGGAGGAGAUCGAGGGUCGUCCCCGUGAUGGCCGCCAACACGUAUAUGUGUGGCGCCAACGCGGGGAUCACUUUAUCGGUCAUGAGGAGGUCGCCGAGACCGAAGAGGCCGCCAGGGUGGAGCGCGCGGCCAAGCGCCUUGUCGACGAAGUCAAGGUAAGCGGCUUUUUGUACUGCUGCGCAUUCUUUUGCCUUGUCUUGCUUGAUCGUUAUAUGCUUGCUUUGUAGGACGUAAUGAAAACGGCGAAGUACCGGAAACGGUGCUUUGACCAGAUAGAAGGCGUCAUGGCCGAGAACAAGGCCCUUGCCGCGGAGGUAGACCGGUUGCGGGCGGAGGUCGGGGAGAAGGUGGUCAAGAUGAGCGCCGAAAAGGAGCGUUGUCUCGACCUCGCUCGUCGUCUGGCCGACCAGUACCGGCUGCAGGAAGGUUAGUCACACGCUCCGAGCAGUUUCGCGUACUUGUAUAGUUUGCUUUGCUGACCAGUUUAGGAUUCACGCAGACUUGGAGGAGGAGGUGGCGAGCCUCCAACAAGAGAAGGAGCAGCUCAGCCAACAGCUCGCCGGUGCGCAGGAGUCCGGGCGGCGAGCGGAAGAGGAGUUGGGUCGAAAAGACCGGGAGUUAGCUAGUAAUGGGUGCCGCCUUGUUGGUUGCUGCCUGCCCCUUUGCUUGUCUGGUAUGCCGAAAGUAACGUUUCGUUUUGUUUGCAGUGCUCAAGGUGAACACCAAAAAGCACCUGGAUGACCUGAUCAAGGACCGGGACUCCUGGAAGGCCAACUGUUGCAGGAUCUGGAAAGGAGUGUCCCCGGUCCUAGAUCUGCUCAGCCCCGAGCUCCCGGAGAGCCAGCCCCGCGCGCCGCAGUUGACCCCGGUCGAGAAGGCGCAACGGGCGUGGGACUGGCUCCAGCAGUUUGUGAAGGACGCCGGGGAGUUUGCCGGCGCGCACGUCCUCAGCAUGGUGCGCGCCCACUACCCCCUGGUCGACUUGAGCAGGCUGGAGAAGGGGUACCCGAAGGAAGUCGGCCCACAGGAAGCGGACGAACUUCGGGGUAGUCUGCUGGACUUGUCGUCGACAGUGAUCGGCGACAUCAAUCUGUGCGGGACGGCCACUCCUCCAGACCAGCCGAGCUCAGAUAGGUCGGCCAGGGAGUUGUCGGGCGCGUCCGUUGCGGGAGAUGGGCGGUCGACGCCUGCGGUCUCGACCAGCCAGGCGCCGGUGGCCCCGACCCCUUCGUCCGGGCAGCAGGGCCAAGCGGGUGAUCAACCCGAGCAGCUAGGCCAAUAAAGUAGUCUGUAGGAAUAGACUAGUGUCUGCCCGUCAGGGUAUUUAUUGUAAACUUUGUAUGUAAAGUUUGUAAUAAAGAUUGCUUUCUGUCAUGACUGUUGUUUUGAGCGCUGUAAGAAUAUCUGAGUGACGUGUCACCGUAUUUGUCUUGGUUGUCGCUAAGAGCAUCCGUUGCAGGAGUUUUGCCGAGUGCUGUGUGUGACAAGGUAUGGGCCAAAAAAUAGAGAAUUUCAUUAUCAAAAAUUAUAAGAUACUUACAAAAGAAAGUCAUUAAAAAUCUUUAUGGAUAGAAACGUCGCAGCUUGUCGAUGUGCCAAGAGUUAGGCACUCGUGUUCCGUCUGGGUAUGCCAAUCUGUAGGACGUAGGUCGUGUGACCUCGGUCACCACAAAGGGUCCUUCCCAGGGAGUGGAUAGCUUGUGCAUUCCCUCCUGGCUUGUUUUCCAUCGAAGCACCAGAUCGCCGACCACGAAAGAACGGUCCUUGACAUUCCUGUUGUAGUAUCGCCUGACUGCUGCGAGAUAUUUUGUUGUUCGGAGACACGAAACUAAACGCUUUUCCUCCAUGCAAUUGAUUUCGAGUCCUCUGGCGUUGUCGGCGGUCGCCUGGUCGAAGUGCUCGAUUCUAGGAGAUCCGAAGUGUAUGUCAGACGGCAAGACCGCCUCUGCACCGUACACCAUGAAGUAGGGAGAUACCCCUGUGUUUCGACUGGUCUGAGUUCGGAGGCCCCAGACCACUGCCGGCAAUUCUUUCAUCCAUCGACCGGGUGCUCUGUCGUUUUCGGUGUACAACCUCUUCUUUAGGGCAUCAACGAUCAUUCCGUUAGCACGUUCAACUUGACCGUUGGCACGUGGAUGUGCCACUGACACAUAUUUUAUGACUAUGCCUCUGUCAUCGCAGAAAUCCCAAAAAGUGGUGCCAGUAAACUGAGUGCCCAGGUCGGUGAUUAUGCUGUUCGGGAUGCCGAAUCUGUGUAUGAUUUGUCUGAGGAACUCCACAGCCUUCUCGGAGGUUGCCUUGACCAGGGGCAUGUAUUCAAUCCACUUGGAGAACUUGUCGAUUAACACGAAGACAAACUUAAAAUUGCCCGGGGCUGGUUUAAAUGGUCCGAUCAUGUCAAGCCCCCAGCUAGCAAAGGGCCAAGACGCCGGGAUGGUUUGAAUUUCAUGGGCAGGUACGUGGGUCCUCUUAGCGAAAAACUGACAUCCUUCGCAAUGCCGAACCAGUUUUUCUGCGUCGCUGACCGCGGUUGGCCAAUAAAAACCUGCUCGGAAAGCCUUUCCGACCAGCGUUCUAGAUGCGGCGUGGUUGCCGCAGGAUCCGGCGUGUAUGUCCUCCAAGAGCUUGAUACCAUCAUCUUGGGGUAUGCACUUGAGCAGUACUUCGGAGCUUGCGUUUUUCCGCAUGAGUUUUCCGUCGAACAGGAUGUAGUUCUUUGAUCGUCAGAUGAGACGCUCGUUCUCUCUUUUGUCCUGAAAACCUGUCCCGUCUGAGAUGUAUUUGAUGAACGGAAUACGCCAGUCACGCCCACCGGUUGUCGGAGUGGCGUCAUCUAUGAGCAUUGCCUCGGUGGGUUGCUUGUCGACCAGGGGGGAGCUUACGCUCGGCUCAUGGAUGUCCUGGACGAAAAUACCCCGCGGGAUUUGGGCCCGAGACGAGCCUAACUUUGACAACGCAUCUGCUGCUUGGUUCUUAUCCCGGACCACGUGGAUGUACUCUAUGCCAUAGAAGUUAGUUUCCCAUUUGCGAAUUUCUUUGCAGUAGAGAUCCAUCUUCUCGUGGGUUGCGUCCCAUUCCUUGUUGAGCUGGUUGAUGACCAAAGCGGAGUCGCCAUAGACAUAGAGGCGCUUGACCCCCAGUUCAACGGCUAGUCGUACGCCUUGUAAGCAUGCUUCGUAUUCGGCGACAUUGUUUGACGCCGGAAAAAGGAUCCGAAGGACGUAGCGGAGUUUGUCCUUGUUGGGCGAUACGAACAAUAUCCCAGCGCCUGCACCGUUGAUGUUCAAGGACCCAUCAAAGAACAUUGACCAGUGGUCUGAGACAUCUGGAACGGAAGGCUCGUUGAGAUCCGUCCAUUCGGCAAUGAAAUCGACCAGGGCUUGAGACUUGACGGUGGUGCGACUCUGGAACUCUAGGGAAAAUGGACAUAAUUCCAUUGCCCAUUUCACGAUCCUGCCAUUGGCGUCUUUGUUGCGCAGGAUGUCCCCGAGAGGAAAGCUGGUUGUCACCAGGACUCGAUGGCCGUCGAAGUAGUGCUUCAGCUUUCUUGACGUUAUCAGGAUGGCGUAUAUAAGCUUCUGUAUUUGUGGGUACCUGGCCUUGGAUUCGUUUAAAACUUCGCUUAUGAAGUAAACGGGUCUCUGGACCUUGAAGACGUGACCUGGUUCAUCUCGCUCGACCACUAUUGCCGUGGAAACAACCCUGUCGGUUGCAGCAAUGUAAAGGAGUAGGUCUUCAUUGGGCUGAGGCGCUGUGAGGACAGGCGGUGAAGUGAGGAAGGUCUUAAGCUGAGUGAACGCAGCGUCGGCUUCCUCUGUCCAAGAGAAUUUUUCUGACGCUUUUAGUAGUUUGAAGAAAGGGAGGCCUUUUUCUCCCAGCCUUGCGAUGAAACGACUGAGGGCGGCCAUGCAUCCGGUUAGCUUCUGAAUAUCCUUGACGUUCUUCGGUGGUCGCAUGUCGAGUACGGCUUUGACUUUUGAAGGGUUUGGUCGUAUGCCGUCACGACUGACGACGUUGCCGAGCAGUAGACCGGAAGGAACGCCGAAAAUGCAUUUCUUGGGGUUGAGCUUCCACUUGUACCUAUUGAGUGCCUUGAAGGUUCGGUCUAAGUUGUCGAUUAGGGUGCUCGCGUCCCUUGUUUUUACAACCACGUCGUCCACAUAGGCCUCGACGAGGUCAUCGCGAAUCUCGUCGUGGAGGCAUUGCUGGAUGGCCCUUUGAUAAGUGGCUCCGGCGUUUUUAAGUCCGAAAGACAUGGUAGUGUAACAGUAUGCGCCGAAGGGUGUGAUGAAGGAUGUUUUGAUCUGAUCUUCUUCCUUUAACGAGAUCUGGUGAUAACCAGAGUAGCAAUCUAGAAAGGAGAGGAGUUCGCAUCCGGCCGUUGAGUCGACCACCUCGUCGAUGCGAGGAAGACCAAAAGGAUCUUUAGGACAGUGUUUGUUGAGAUCGGUGUAAUCAACGCACAUUCUCCAUUCAUUAUUAUUUUUGCGUACGAGAACCGGAUUGGCGAGCCAAUCGGGAUGAUGCACUUCUUUUAUGAAUCCGGCUGCUAGAAGCCGUGUUAUUUCUGUCCUAAUAGCCUCCUUUUUGUCACGAGCGAACCGUCGCAGUUUUUGCUUGAUUGGUCUUGCGGUCUUCGAGACGUUUAAGGAUUGCUCGAUCAGGUUUCGUGGGACACCGGGCAUGUCUGCGGGUUUCCAUGCAAAAACGCUCACGUUGUCCCUUAGAAACCUGACGAGCGCGUCUUCCUAUUUUGGAUCCAGGUUAGCCCCGAUGAGGGCUGUCUUCUCGGGGUUGCCUUCGACCAGCUGCACUUCUUUGUACUCCUUGGAUUUCGAAUUCUUUCUGGCUGUCUCCUGCUCAGGUAAUCGGAGCUGGUCGGGAGGCAGCUGUGCGGCUUGGCUUGCUGUUUCCGCCAUGCGGAUUGAGAGGUCAAUUGCCUCGGUGAUCUUGAAGCUUUCUUCUUCGCAGGUGUACGCCGUGUAGACGUUGCCUCUGACGGUUAGGACACCCUUCUCCGUGGGCAUCUUAAGCACUAGGUAUGAGUAGUGCGGGACUGCCAUGAACUUUGUCAGCGAUGGGCGGCCCAGUAUGGCGUGGUAGGUCCCGUCGAAGUCCGCGACUACGAAGUUGAUGAACUCCGUCCGGAAGUGAUCGGGUGUGCCGAAUUGGACAGGCAAUGUUAUCUGUCCGAGGGGCACCGAACUUUGACCUGGCAAAACGCCCCAGAAUUGGGCGUCGUAAGGUUUUAGUUGCGCCGGUGAUAUCUUUAGGGCGGGCAGGCUGUUGCGAAAGAGAAUGUCGAUGGAGCUUCCCCCGUCCACGAGCACGCGCUCGAAUCUGAUGCUAUUGAUGCAGGGAUCAAGAAUCAGUGGGAAACGUCCCGGCUCUGGGAUAGCGGCCCACUGGUCCUUCCUGCUGAACGAGAUCUCCCUGUGGGACCACGCGGGAAAUUUUGGAUCUGCGAUCAGCCCGUCCGUGCUGUCUAUGUUGAGGCAGGCUCUCUUUAACAGCUUUCUUUCUCGCUUGGACUCAGUGGAGACCUUGCCCCCGAAAAUGGAGUGGACCACGUCGGUGGGGCUGACGUAUUGGUGUCGGGGGUCCCUGUCUUGAUCCUCAUCCUCAUCUUCGUGGUCGUGCCCGUCGCGUUUGUUAUUUUUCUUGGCGGAGUCCUCUUGGGCGGCCCGCCGUGUAUAGAUACUUUUGAGGACGCGACACUCUUCCAUGGUAUGGUUAGACUUUGGGUGUAGCUGGCACAGUCCCUUCAACGUUUUGUUGUAGUCGUCUUGGUAGUCCCGUCGUCCGUUGGGACGUUUGACCGUAUUUACUUCGUGGUCGUAUUCACGAGGGCGCUUUCCUCUGAAGUCGUCGCGGCUGUCGCGCCGCCGAUCCCAACCCUCUCGGUGAUCGCGGUUGUCGGAGCGGCGGUGAUUUCUGUUGUAGUAGCGACCACGACCGUCAUCCCACCGAGAAGGCUGGUCGGGGCCUCUCGCGUCGUCUCGGAUUAGUUUUUCUGCGUCAUCAGCAUCGGCGUAGUUUUUAGCCGUGGCGAGGAGCUCUGCUACCGUUGAUGGGCGUUUACGCAGCAGCUUGUUCCUCAGCGCUUCAUGGAAACGCAAGCCCUUGAUAAAGGCUGAUAUGGCCUCGUCGUGAGAAAUCUUCGGGGUUUUGAGGCGCAUAUCCGAGAAUCGUCGGAUGUAAUCGCGCAGAGGUUCAUUCUUCCUGUCUCUUAUCCUUUCAAGGUCAUACUUGUUCCCGGGCUGCUCGCAUGUGGCGAUGAAGUUGUCGAUGAAAGCCUGUCGUAGCUCUUCCCAAGAUUCGAAGGAGUCCUCGGGCAUGCCGAGAAGCCACUGAUGACCAGCCUGGUCGAGGACUACGGGGAAGUAGUUAGCCAUGACGUGCUCAUCUCCUGCCGCUGAUCGGACGGCGAUUUCAUAAAGAGUGAUCCAGUUCUCUGGAUUUUCCUUGCCGUCGUAUUUUUUAAGUUUUUCGAGCUUGAAAUUGCGGGGCCACACGACCUGGCGGAGGUGUGAGGAGAACUGCCUUAGGCCCGGACCGUGGGUCGCGUCGUACUCGAUGCGGCGCAGGUUUUCGUGGACUGCUCUCUCUGCGGCGUGCCUGUUGAUGCGGUCCCGGGCAUCUUUGGGAGGGAUGUUGUGGCGGAGAUCCCUGUGUUGAUCUUCUUCUUCUUGGCCGCGUACACGGUUCUGCUGGCGGCGGCCAUCGGCGUCCCGACCACCAUCGUCGCGCCGUGAGUCCCCUCGACGGUUGUCGGGGGAGCGGCUGCGGCGGCGCCUGCUGGGUGAGGCCCGGCUGCGAUUAGUCUGGUCGGAGGCGGCUUCCGUAUAAGAGACGUCCUGGACUCUCUUGAGCAGAGUGGCUGUCUGUCCCAUUGCGGCGAUCAGGUGUGCUCGGAUACUGGUCCGGACUCCCUGGCAUUCGGGGGUGUCAGGAAGCCGAUCCAGGUUGGCCAUGGCGACAGCCACGUUGGCGCUUGGCGUUUUGUAGACCGGCUGGUCCCCGACCAUGUCAAAGGCAUCGUUGAGGUUACUUGGUGGCAUCUGUUGUUGCUCGUCCGCACGCCGUCGGGCGCGAUCGGCGUUACGCUGUUCGCGGAGUUGCCUCUGGUCAUCUGUUUCUCCAUCAACGGCCGGUUCGUCGGCGCUGACAUUGAACACGAUAUCCCCUCGCCGGGGGGGGGGAAUAUCGGGAAUCGGUCGAAACCCGGAGGGUGUGAAGGAAAAUCCAGGUCGUAGCCCUCGUCUUCGGUGUUUAUAACCUUGGUGGGGACGGAGCCGGUGCUUGAGUUGGUGCUGGAAACCUGGCCGUCCCGUAGCUCUCGGAUUGUCACCAUGUUGACAUGGUGACGAUUGUUCCUUGUCGGCGACCAGCCCGCUUUGCUGAAAACGGAUUGGACAUGCUGUGAGUAAACAGAGGCCGAGUUAUUCAGGCCGCAAGGAUAGUCUCCCUUUUUGAGCUCGACGGAUCGUCCUGAGGGGGUUGAGGUUAUCGUCAGGGAUGUUCCCGGCCGUUCGUGUGUGGUGACACGAGUUGGCCGGCGGGAUUUCGAAAAAUCUGCUCGAGCGGCUUGGUCGGGCCGGCGCAGAACUCCAUCUAUUAGUUGGGAGACUUCGAGCAGCUUGGAGUCGGCGCGAUCGAGCGCUUGGAGGAGGUCCGAGCAGUCGAUCUCCUUUCCCUUGUAGAGUGGGAACGGUGGUCGGGAGCUUGGUGCCGUCAUGCGUGUGGUCGGAGACGGCGUGAUCUCAGAUUGGAUCUGGAUCUCUUUCGGAACCGUGGUCGGGAAGCCGCCGCUGCACGUCGUCCACGUGAUCUGGCCGACGGUGAACGUGAGGCCUUCGGGCACGGUCGCGGAAGCUGGGAUCGUGACCAUCUUGUUCGCCGGAAAAGUUGCACGCACACCCCCUACCUGGCGCGCCACUGUCGACGAAAGCUAGUCGGCAGUCUACCUUGGGGUAUACCCACGGUAGUAGUUUAUCGGUAGACGGUGCGUGAACUACGAACUCGACGGUGACGCAAGACACGGACAAGCUUUUUAUCCAGGUUCGGCCGCCGAGUUGGCGUAAUACCUACGUCCUGCGUCUGGUUGUAUUGAUUUGUGCUGAGAGAAUAUGAUGUCCUAGGGGGGUCCCUUGCCCCUCCUUAUAUAGUCUGGAGGGCAGGGUUACAGAUCUAGAAACUAAUCCUAGUCGGCUACAAUUGCCAUAGAUAAUUCGACAUCAAUUCCUAUUCUAACCGACUAGAAUCCUGCUUGAUCUCCACGUCUUGUUUCCUUGUGCGAAACUCCGAGCUGUCGGAUCAAACCUUGAACUCGUCUCGUAGUGGGCCAAGCUUCCUGGCUAAAGUCUAGCCGUAAGGGUAUAGGGGUUUAUACCCCCACAGACGCCGACGGCGGCUGGCCGGAACAGGGUUUCCCCGUGGCGGCGCCAUGGGAGAGCUCGCCGGAGCUUUACCAGAUCCCGUUUCCGACCUUGGUUUUUGAUGGGAUUAACACAGGGAGAUAGAGAAACUUCAUGCGAACUUACCUAGGGCACCCAAAUGAGCCAGAAGACCCUGGGGAAGAUCGGCGACGCGAGGUGGGGGGUCGAGGCGCUCUGCGAAGUUCGGCGAGCAUUAGAUUGACACAGAACGCGAGAGAGGAAGAUAGGAAGGGCUCAGGGGCAUCGUUAGUCAACCACGAAGCUCGGCAAGGCCUCGAUUGUGGUAGAGCGAGCGCGAAUUGUGUGAACCACUGCGGCGACAUCCUCCGCUUCUCGGCGAGAUCUGAAUAGCGAUGAUGGAGUUGGUUAGGGCUUUGCGAAGGCACGAGGAUAGGAAAACAAAGGCGUGGGAAGGGUCUGGAGCUUUAUAGGUUACGGGGUUAGCCAAAUCCCGUGGAGGCCGGGAUUGGAUUGCCGUGAUGGGAAGGAAAUCCUGGGAAGUUGUAUUGAGUUGCGUCGCCCUGAGUCCAUCUCGGUCACGCCUCAAGGUAGAAGUAGAGAAAGGGCCACCGACGAGUGGGACCAGGCGGCAGUGAGGGGGGUGACAGGGCCCGCGUGCCAGUGAGGGGGGGGGGAAGGGAAGAGGGAGGGCGCGGGGCUAGGGCGGGGUCUUUCUUGGGCCGGUUGCGCGCAUAGAAGAGCUGGGCCUCGGUUGCUGGGCCACCAGGCCGAGGGAGAGGUGGGUGGCAUGCUGGGCCAGUUGCUGGCCAGCUUGGGCCGAGCGCGGAGUCUGGGCAGGGAGAGAGGAGAGAGAGGAAGUUUGGUUGGGCCUCUCGGGCCAAAACAGGGAGAGAGAGAGAGCCUUUUCUCUUUUUUUUCUUUUUAUUUCAAAGCCUUUUCAAAACAAUUUAAAAAAAAUCAAUUUGAAAAUAUUUUGAUUUUUUUUGCCCAAAUUCACACAAUACAAUGAAAAUAAAUGCUCCAAAAUGAAUGCUCAAACAGGUUGCUAAAUCCUAUGAUAAAUUUUAAUUUCAUGAUAACUUUAUUUUCCCUAUAUUUCCAUGAGCACAAAAAUACAAUAAUUAAAUCAAUUUAGCUUUAUUUCCAAAGGACAAAUUUUUAGGGUGUUACAAAUCUACCCCCCUUAAAAUGAAUCUCGUCCUAGAGAUUCGAAAGAGACACGGAUUCCAAAAGGGAGACAAGAACAAGAUCUUGAUAUAUAUUUCAACUUCACAACUUGUAUUCCAAAGUAAACACUUAUGUCUCGGGAUCACAAUGUGUAAACAAAACAUCCAUAAAAUGUCUGUUAUUCAUAGCUGAUUAAAACCCAUCUUGACUACCAACUUUUUGACUAAUACAACUCAAAGAUAUGAUAAAUUAGCAUGGGUAUGCCUCCUCAGGUAGGAGUGGACCACCUUGAUACUCAAUUCUUUUCCCUGAUGGUGCAGUUAAGAAAAUUUUACACUGGGUAGCAUAGAUCACUGCCUUGUGUGCACAUAACCAUCUAUUGCCAAGAACCAAAGGAAUAUUGAGUGACUCUAGCACAAUGAGGUUUACAGUGAAGUUUUCCUUCUUUUUGACAAGAUUGAUAUUUAAGCAAACCUGAUCUGCCUGUUUUUCUCCCUUUGGGGUCUGAACUAACAAAGGCUUUCUCGUCGGGCACUUCACCCGUUCGAUUGUCUUUACCAUGUCGGCGGAAAUAAAAGAAUGCGAAGCACUUCGGUCAAACAGAGCAAAAACUAGCACUGAGUCCACUUGAAUAUAGCCUCCCACCACUUUGGUGGCUCCUUGAAUGUUAUGCAUAUCCACAUUGUUUAGUCUUCCAUUGAUAUAAUUUCGCUGUACUUUAUUUCCAAGAGCAGGCUUCUUACGAGCUUUCCUUUUACGCUUCCGUCGUUGUGGAUUUUGAUUUGAUUCAUUGUCAACUUGCUCUUCCAUGUUAUUAUUUUGAUAACACUCAGCUUUGUCAUACUCAUAGCAUCUUUCUUCAAAAGCAAGAUGAUCAUAUUCUUCUCACCUAUCCAUGAGAGGCGUCAUAUUAUGCUCCGAAUCCAUGGGACACUACACUCCCUGUCAUCAAGUGACCAACGUCAGUAACACGGCAAGGAUAGAUGAUCAUAAUCAUAGGAUAUCUCAAAAGACGAUUAUCACUUAAAAAUGCAUCAUCCUGUGAUAUCAGGGUACUACCCCCCUUAAAAUGAGAUUGAUUGGGGGACACUAGGGACUACUUCUCCUAUCCUUUUUAGACACUACACAUCAUAUAGUCUUUUAAAUUCGCUGUACCGAGUCUCUUGAUCCAAGGUUAGUUUCAUCUCUAAGUUCCAAUUAUCGGUACCUUUAUCACAAUCAAGUUGUUUCACUCCCAUAUUGUACAUAUAACUUCAUAACCUUUGGUGUCAUCUGAUCCUCAUAAACAUAACUCUCGAUCCAUGAGUUUCAGCAAUGACAUAUAUCUCAAUUAAUAUUCUCUAAAUGGGAGGAUAUCUUUACCAAGCACUUGUGAUCCUAAUAGAUGUUCCAGUCUUUAACCACUUCUUCUCCUUGUAGCUUCUUUAUUUGGGCUACCCCCCUAAAGAAAAGUCAACUAGGGGGCACAAGAAAGGUAGCUUGCAUGUUUUCCAGGCAGGUUAACUAACAUUGAGAACUUUUGACAUCCCAAAGAACUUAUGUGCAAUGGAGCAAACAGGUAUCCUGAAAUUUUCUCGUGAUAUGAAAAACGCCAGCGUAGUUAAAUACAUAUAACUCUUAUUCUGUUAAUCCAACAGAGUUAUAGCUUAUACCGUUAGAAAACAUAUGAAAUUCUCUACCACUUUCAUAUAGAAGACCUCCUUAGGUUCUGUCUUUAAGCUUAAGUAAAAUAGCCAAAUAUAAUACCCAUUCUGACAAUGUCUCAGCAAAGGUGCAGUAAGUUACAGAAAUUAUAUCUCGAGCUACUUAACUCAUCUGGAUAUGAUCCUUACAUUUUGGAAAAGCUUAGGAAAGCCUCUACAACUUUCGUAUACCAUGUUUUCCCACAUUCUGUCUUUAACUUGGCCGAAAAUAGGGAAUACCAAAACUGUCCAGACUUUGAUACAGAACAUAAACAUCCAAGUGUAAAUGUCAUAUCUCAGGUUCUACUAAUCCAAAUUAGUUCCAGCUUAUACUGCUGGAAAGCAAAGUAAAUUGUCUACAUCUUUUCUAUAGAACACUUUUCCAAAUUCUAUAGCUACAUUUGUCUCAAACAGUAAGCAACCAAAACUGGUCCAGGUUCUUGACAGCACAGUUGUAUCAUCUUGUGAUUUUUGUAACUUCCAAACCAUAAUAGCUAUGAGGGUGAUUCUUGUGGUAAGAGAAAGAUCUUGAAGUCUAGUUGUUCCCAGAAAAAUUUGGUAAACUUGCACGACCAGAUCUUGAUAUACACCAUGAUUAUUGCAGACUGCUCCAGAAAUCGGCAGAAGAUAGAAACAAGAUAUAACCAAACCCAACUACUUAUGUCAUUACUCCUUAUGCCUUAGUCCUAUAAACUAAAUGAUAUUGUGGAGAAAUCCCACAAAAUCAUUGCACUCAUUACAAAUAUCCAAAUCAAGCAUAAGCAUAAUGACAAAACAACUAAGCAUUAAAGGUUCACACUUCACUCAACUUGCGAUACUAUCGUUUUCUUCUUAGUAAGGGUAGAGAUCCUAAAAUUAUCUUUCAACUACGUAAGCAGGUGGUAAGAGAAGAUUCUAAAAGCUUAUCAAAUCAAGAGUGAAGAUGAGAACAAGUACUUUUAAAAUAAGCAACAAGGUAGAGACAAAUAGCAAGGAUAGGGAUAUAGUAUGGAUGAAAAUACCAAGGUUUAUAGAGCAAGGAUUUUAUGACAAUUCCAAAACAUUAAGAUGACAAAUUUCUAACUAGGCUUGCAUCCUACAGCCAGCAUUGCUCUGAUACCACUUUGUAAUACCCGAUUUUAAGGACAAAACCAAAUAUGCACCAUAUGUGAGUUUUAAAAGUCAAAUCUCACAUAUAGCUACAAAUAAGGGGUAAUAUCAAAAGACAAUGCAUAAAUUAUAUAACAUACUUAGUAUAAAAGAGAUAACCUUUAGUAACAAACAGCGGAUAGAUAACGCCAACUUCGGGUAUUAACUCCACUCUACAGGAUCCAACUGACUGGUUGACCACAAGCCUAAACUUCUCCUGAGGUUUGGGGGAAAUAGCAAGAGUGAGUCCAUGUCGAACUCCACAAGUAUAGCAACUAGAUUGUAUAGCUCCCACAAUCUCAUGAUCAAUGUGACAUAAAUAAUGUAAAGCAUUAAACAAUAAAAAAUGAGCAUAUUUAACACACAAGAAUCAUCACCCUUGAUGUAGAUGUCCCCAAGGCCGCUCCUGACCGUGAGCUCGGCUAGUAUACUAGUUUUUAACCCUCUGCAGAGGUUGCACAUCUUUACCCAUGAGUCAUGAUUUAACCUUUCGCCCGAGGUAGUUAAUCUCUUAACCCCCUUCCUAGGGAGGUCGGCAGGGAUCACUAUGAAGUGUUUCAAAGGUUCGUCUAACAAGUUAGGGCCGCUUGGUUCCAUUAGUCAGUCCGUGUGAUUCACCCGCAGGAAUCCACGGUCUACUAUUCCCCAAUUGCGCCACACGGGUAACCGCUAACGAGCUAGAAAAGUUACUCAUACUUAACUAAAACUAGAGCCAUUAUAGCCCUCAUGGUUGCACUGUUGUACCGGGUGAUCACGUACAGAUAAAUCAUCAAGUCGCUAAAAAGUCAUUUUUAUCGUUUAUUACUUAUCAUUAAUCUAGCCACAGGAUCAUGGUCACAGAAAUAAAAUCCAAAUGCUAUACUUGCCUUAAUCCAAUUGCUCUUGCUUAUCUCUUUGGUCCUACUGGUCUCACUUGUCCAAGGCUCUGAUCUUGAUCAACAAAAACUGCUUUCCGACUAAACUCGAUCAUCGAUCAUCAACACACAAACAACCGAAGAAAACAUACAUGAAGCAAACAAGGCUACAAUUAGAACAUUACACCAAACAGUGGUAAAUCAAAGAUAAAAGUUUAUGAAAAUAUUCUACGCAUCACUACGAUUUCAUAGACGUAAAGAUCACGAAAAUCGAAAUUAAAACGUAGAAGAUAUGGAUUUUCUAAGAUUUUAUAUAGAAAAGUAAUUAAUUAAUUAAGGACACGGAAUUAAAAAGUUUCAAACUGGUGAAUUAAGUUUAUUAACAUGUAGAGUUCAUUAUUACGGAUCCAACAAAAUUUGAAUGGACCAAAUCGGAUUUAAAAUGAACAUUCUAUGACUAAAACAAAAUCAAUGGCAGUUCUGUAAAUACAGAAAACGUAUUUCAAAAUACACUGAGUCGAUUUUACGCUUUCAUAUGAUGGAAAAUGCAUUUUGCGGAGUACGCUGAGGGACUGCGAGUUUAUACUUAAAAAGGGCAGGGGGUCUUUAGAAAAAUUUCAAGUGAAGGGGUAAGAUCUGUUUUCGACCCUUGAUCUCUAAACCGAUGGCUACGAUCCACCUAGGGGAGGGACGCCGACGGCGGCUGGCCGGAACAGGGUCUCCCCGCGGCAGCGCCAUGGGAGAGCUCGCCGGAGCUUUACCAGAUUCCGUUUCCGACCUCAGUUUUCGACGGGAUUAACACAGGGAGAUAGAGAAACUUCGUCCGAACUUACCUAGGGCACCCAAAUGAGUCGGAAGACCCUCGGGAAGAUCGGCGACGCGAGGUGGUGGAUCGAGGCGCUCUGCAAAGUUCGGCGAGCACUAGAUUGACACAGAACGCAAGAGGGGAAGAUAGGAAGGGCUCAGGGGCAUCGUUACUCAACCACGAAGCUCGGCAAGGCCUCGAUUGCGGUAGAGCGGGCGCGAAUUGCGUGAACCACUGCGGCGACGUCCUCCGCUUCUCGGCGAGAUCCGAAUAGCUAUGAUGGAGUUGGUUAGGGCUUCACGAAGGCACGAGGAUAGGAAAACGAAGGCGUGGGAAGGGUCUGGAGCUUUAUAGGGUUCGGGGUUAGCCAAAUCCCGUGGAGGCCGGGAUUGGAUUGCCGUGAUGGGAAGGAAAUCCCGGGAAGUCGUAUUGAGCUGCGUCGCCCUGAGUCCAUCUCGGUCAUGCCUCAAGGUAGAAGAAGAGAAAUGGCCCCCGACGAGUGGGACCGGGCGGCAGUGGGAGGGGUGACAGGGCCCGCGUGCCAGUGAGGGGGGGGGAAGGGAAGAGGGAGGGCACGGGCCUAGGCCGGGGUCUUUCCUGGGCCGGUUGCGCGCAUAGAAGAGCUGGGCCUCGGUUGCUGGGCCACCGGGCCGAGGGAGAGGUGGGUGGCGUGUUGGGCCAAUUGCUGGCCAGCUUGGGCCGAGCGCGAAGUCUGGGCAGGGAGAGAGGAGAGAGGGGAAGUUUGGUUGGGCCUCUCGGGCCAAAACAGGGAGAGAGAGAGAGCCUUUUCUCUUUUUUUCUUUUUAUUUCAAAGCCUUUUCAAAACAAUUUAAAAAAAAUCAGUUUGAAAAUAUUUUGAUUUUUUUUGCCCAAAUUCACACAAUACAAUGAAAAUAAAUGCUCCAAAAUGAAUGCACAAACAGGUUGCUAAAUCCUAUGAUAAAUUUUAAUUUCAUGAAAACUUUAUUUUCCCUAUAUUUUCAUGAGCACAAAAAUACAAUAAUUAAAUUAAUUUAGCUUUAUUUCCAAAGGACAAAUUUUUAGGGUGUUACAAAGACGCACGUGACGCAUCACCAUGAAACGGGGAGUUGAUUGUUGGUACCCCUUAUCAUAUUAAACAGAUGGUAGGGCUUUGAACUAACCUUUCCACAAGUUUUGUUGCAAAUAUCAAUUUCAUGUAUGACACGUGGAAAGGCGCAAAAGACACGAGAAAGCGCACUUCAAGAAAGCGUAUUCAGAAAAGGUGCAAAUCAAAGAUAAAUGGAAAAGCCCACCAAAACACCGAACUGGAUCCAUCCAUAACCACAGGAAGGAUCAGGGCCCAUAGACGAACCGACCACGCGAAGGCGGUGGCCAGGGGGGCCCACCAGUGGUGCGGUCGUACCCUGGUGCGGGCGCACCCCUGUGGCGACAACUCGGUCCCACCUUUUUCAGGCGGGUGCAUGGCGGCAUGCAUAGGAUGGUUUCACCUCCUACCAAAUUUAGAUCACCAUGAACCAUCCUUGUAGGGCUAUAAAUAGAUGGCUCCACACCAUUCAACACACACACCAUCAUUUUGAGCAAUACACCUCACAUCUCUACACUUGUUCUUUAGUUUAGAUUCAGUAGUAGAGGAAGGCAAAGCUAGCAAGGAGAGCUUGUCUCCUUGGAUGAUCUUAGAGCUUCUUGGUAUGAAUACAAUUCAGUUCUCCUCCAUGAGCAAGUUCUUAUCUUAUUUAUAUGAUUAUGCAAUUGAAUUAGAGUAUAGCUGUGUUCAUAUCUUGUUCAUAGUAUAUGAACUAGUUCUUAGUUCUUGUGCUAUGUUCUUGAUGUUCGAAUUAGUAUGAAUAGACAAAGGAUUAAGAUUGGGGUAACGAUUCAUUGGGCUGUGAUGGCCACUCUUAGCCGAGCCUGUCAAUCUGAAGGGUUGGGGUCCCGAGAGGCUAGGAGGCAUUUCCAAUUACACGGGCGAGGUGCUCGGGUAUGCGGAGGUGGCAGGGUAGUGACAGCCCUGUCAUCCCUGGUUGUGGGGGUAUAAACCCCUAUACCCUUACGACUAGACUUGGGCCAGGAGGCUUGGCCCAUUACGAGACAAGCUCAAGGUUUGAUCCGACAGCUCGGAGUUUCGCGCAAGGAAACAAGACGUGGAGAUCAAACAGGAUUCUAGUCGGUUAGAAUAGGAAUUGAUAUCGAACUAUCUAUGGCAAUUGUAACCGACUAGGAUUAGUUUCCGAUCUGUAACCCUACCCUCCGGACUAUAUAAGGAGAGGCAAGGGACCCCCCUAGGACAUCAUAUUCUCUCAACACAAAUCAAUACAACCAGACGCAGGACGUAGGUAUUACGCCAACUCGGCGGCCGAACCUGGAUAAAAAGCUUGUCCGUGUCUUGCGUCACCAUCGAGUUCGUAGUUUGCGCACCGUCUACCGAUAAACUACUACUGUGGGUAUACCCCAAGGUAGACUGCCGACCAGCUUUCGUCGACAGUGGCGCGCCAGGUAGGGGGUGUGCGUGCAACUUCUCCGGCGAACGAGAUGGUCACAAUCCUAGCUUCUGCGACCGUGCCCGAAGGCCUCACGCUCACCGUCGGCCAGAUCAUGUGGACUACGCGCAGCGGUGGCCUCACGACCACGGUUUCGAAAGAAACUCAGAUCCAAUCUGAGAUCACGUCGUCUCCGACCACUCGGGUGACGGCACCGAGCGCCCGACCACCGUUCCCGCUCUACAAGAGAAAGAAGAUCGACAGCUCGGACCUUCUUCAAGCGCUUGAUCGCGCCGAUUCCAAGCUACUCGAAGCCUCCCAACUAGUAGAUGGAAUCCUGCGCCAGCCUGAUCAAGCCGCCCCAACGGAUUUUUUCAAAUCCCGCCGGCCAACUCGUGUCGUUACACAUGAACGGCUAGGAACGUCUCUGACGAUAACCUCAACUCCCUCAGGACGAUCCGUCAAGCUCAAGGCUAACCCGGAUGAAGAUUAUCUUUGCCGCCUGAACAACUCGGCCUCUCUCUACUCACGGCACAUCCAAUCCGUUUUCACCAAGGCGGGUUGGCCGCCAAAAAGGAACAGUCAAUCUGCUCGUCACAACGUCAACAUGGUGACGAUCCGCGAACUACGGGAUGGCCAGGCUUCCAGCACCAAUUCGAGCACCGGUUCUGUCCACACCGAAGUUAUAAACUCCGAAGACGAGGACUACGACCUGGAUUUGCUUUCACAUCCUCCGGGUUUCUCUCGUUUCCCGGUAUUCCCCCCCGGCGAGGAGACAUUGUUUUUAACUUCAGCGCCGACGAGCCGGUCGUUGAUGGAGAAACAGACGAGCAAAGGCAGCUCCGCGAGCAGCGUAACGCCGAUCGCGCCCGACGACGCGCGGAUGAGGAACGACAAAUUCCACCACAUAAUCUCAGCGACGCCUUUGAUAUGGUCGGGGACCAGCCAGUCUACAAAACGCCAAGCGCCAACGUGGCUGUCGCCAUGGCUAACCUAGAUCGGCUCCUCGAUACUCCUGAGUGCCAGGGAGUCCGAACCAGCGUCCGAGCGCACCUGCUCGCCCCAAUGGGACAGACAGCCACUCUGCUUAAAAGAGUCCAGGCCGUCUCUUAUACGGAAGCCACCUCCGACCAGACUAAUCGUAGCCGGACCUCACCGCCUCCCAGCAGGCAUCACCGUAGCCGUUCCCCCGACAAGCAUCGAAAGGAUUCACGGCGUGACGAUGGUGGUCGGGAUGCUGACGGUCACCACGAGCAGAACCGCAGGCGCGGUCAAGAAGUAAACCAGCACAGGGAUCUUCGAUAUAACAUCCCUCCCAAAGAUGCCUGGGACCGCAUCAACAGACGCGCCACGGAGAGAGCAGUCCACGAAAACCUGCGCCGUAUCGAGUACGAUGCAACGCACGGCCCCCCGGGCCUAAGACAGUUCUCCUCACACCUCCGCCAGGUCGUGUGGCCCUGCAAUUUCAAGCUCGAGAAACUCAAAAAAUACGACGGCAAGGAAAAUCCAGAGAAUUGGAUCACUCUCUAUGAAAUCGCCGUCCGAUCAGCAGCGGGGGAUGAGCACGUCAUGGCCAACUACUUCCCAGUAGUCCUCGACCAGGCUGGUCAUCAGUGGCUUCUUGGCUUGCCCGAGGACUCCUUCAACUCUUGGGAAGAGCUACGCCAGGCUUUUAUCGACAACUUCAUCGCCACAUGCGAGCAGCCUGGAAACAAGUAUGACCUCGAAAGGAUAAGGGACAGGAAAAACGAACCUUUACGCGAUUACAUCCGACGAUUCUCGGAUAUGCGCCUUAAGAUCCCGAAGAUUUCCCACGACGAGGCCAUCUCUGCCUUCAUCAAGGGCCUACGUUUCCAUGAAGCACUGAGGAACAAACUAUUGCGCAAAAGGCCAACAACGAUGGCGGAGCUCCUCGCCACGGCUAAAAAUUACGCCAAUGCCGACGAUGCAGAGAAACUAAUCCGAGACGAUGCGAGAGGUCCCGACCAGCCUCCCCGGCGAGAUGACGGUCGCGGUCGUUUCGACAACAAGAACCACCGCCGCUCCGACAACCGCGAUCAUAGAGAAGGCUGGGAUCGGCGGCGCGAUAAUCGCGACGACUUCAGAGGAAAGCGCCCCCGCGACCACGACCACGAAGUGAAUACGGUCAAGCGUCCCAACGGGCGGCGAGACUACCAAGAAGACUACAAUAAAACAUUGAAGGGACCGUGCCAACUACAUCCAAAAUCUAAUCAUACCAUGGAAGAGUGCCGCGUCCUCAAAAACAUCAAUACACGGCGGACUGCCCAAGACGACUCCGCCAAGAAAAACGGCAAGCGAGACGGGCACGACCACGAAGACGAGGACGAGGACCAAGAUAGGGACCCUCGACACCAAUACGUCAGCCCCACCGACGUGGUCCACUCCAUCUUCGGGGGCAAGGUCUCCAUCGAAUCUAAGCGAGAAAGAAAGCUAUUAAAAACAGCCUGCCUCAACAUAGACAGCACGGACGGACUGAUCGCAGACCCGAAAUUUCCCCCGUGGUCGCACAGGGAGAUCUCCUUCAGCAGGAAGGAUCAGUGGGCCGCUAUCCCAGAGCCAGGACGUUUCCCUCUAAUCCUGGACCCUUGCAUCAACAGCAUCAGAUUCGAGCGCGUGCUCGUGGACGGAGGAAGCUCCAUUCACAUCCUCUUCCGCAACAGCCUGCCCGCUCUCAAGAUAUCUCCUGCACAACUAAAACCCUACGAUGCUCAAUUCUAGGGAGUUUUGCUAGGUCAGAGUUCAGUGCCCCUCAGACAGAUAACAUUGCCUGUCCAAUUCGGCACACCCGACCACUUUCAGACAGAGUUCGUAAACUUUGUGGUCGCGGACUUCGACGGGACCUACCACGCUAUACUGGGCCGACCAUCGCUGACAAAGUUCGUGGCAGUCCCGCACUACUCAUACCUGGUCCUUAAGAUGCCUACGGAGAAGGGUGUCCUAACCGUCAGAGGCAAUGUCUACACCGCAUAUACCUACGAAGAGGAAAGCUUCAAGAUCACCGAGGCAAUCGACCUCUCAAUUCGCAUGGCAGAAACAGCAACCCAAGCCGCGCAGCUGCCUCCCGACCAGCUCCGAUUACCCGAGCAGGAGACUGCCAGGAAGAAUUCAAAAUCCAAGGAGUAUAAGGAAGUACAACUGGUCGACGGCAGCCCCGAGAAGACGGCCCUCAUCGGGGCUAAUCUGGACCCCAAAUAGGAAGACACGCUCGUCAGGUUUCUAAGGGACAACGUAAGCGUUUUCGCAUGGAAACCCGCAGAUAUGCCCGGCGUCCCACGGAACCUGAUUGAGCACUCCUUAAAUGUCUCGAAGACCGCAAGACCCAUCAAGCAAAAGUUGCAACGGUUCGCUCGUGACAUAAAGGAGGCUAUUAGGACAGAAAUAACACGGCUUCUAGCAGCCGGAUUCAUAAAAGAAGUGUAUCAUCCCGAUUGGCUCGCCAAUCCGGUUCUUGUACGCAAAAAGAAUAAUGAAUGGAGAAUGUGCGUUGAUUACACUGAUCUCAAUAAACACUGUCCUAAAGACCCUUUUGGUCUCCCUCGCAUCGACGAGGUGGUCGACUCAACGGCCGGAUGCGAACUCCUCUCUUUCUUAGACUGCUACUCUGGUUAUCACCAGAUUUCGCUAAAGGAAGACGAUCAGAUCAAAACAUCUUUCAUUACUCCUUUCGGCGCAUAUUGCUACACGACUAUGUCAUUCGGACUCAAAAAUGUCGGAGCCACUUAUCAACGGGCCAUACAGCAAUGCCUCCACGACGAGAUUCGUGACGACCUCGUCGAGGCCUAUGUAGAUGACGUCGUCGUCAAAACGAGGGAUGCAAGCACCCUAAUCGACAACUUAGACCGAACUUUUAAGGCGCUUAAUAGGUACAAGUGGAAGCUUAACCCCAAAAAGUGCAUAUUUGGUGUCCCUUCUGGUCUACUGCUCGGCAACGUUGUCAGUCGUGAUGGCAUACGGCCAAAUCCUUCAAAAGUAAAAGCAGUACUCGACAUGCGACCACCUAAAACGUCAAGGAUAUUCAGAAGCUCACCGGAUGUAUGGCCGCCCUCAGUCGCUUCAUCUCAAGACUAGGAGAAAAAGGCCUCCCUUUCUUCAAACUCUUGAAAGCGUCGGAAAAAUUUUCUUGGACAGAGGAAGCCGACGCCGCGUUCACUCUGCUUAAGACUUUCCUCACUUCACCACCUGUUCUUAUAGCGCCUCCGCCCAAUGAAGACCUACUCCUUUACAUUGCUGCAACCGACAGGGUUGUUUCCACGGCAAUAGUGGUCGAACGAGAUGAGCCAGGUCAUGUCUACAAGGUGCAGAGACCCAUUUACUUCAUAAGCGAAGUCUUAAACGAGUCCAAGGCCAGGUACCCACAAAUACAGAAGCUCAUAUACGCCAUUCUAAUAACGUCAAGAAAGCUAAAACACUACUUCGACGGCCAUCGAGUCUUGGUAACCACCAGUUUCCCUCUCGGGGACAUUCUGCGUAAUAAAGACGCCAACGGCAGAAUCAUAAAAUGAGCGAUGGAAUUAUGCCCAUUUUCCCUGGAGUUCCAGAGCCGCACCACAGUCAAGUCUCAGGCCCUGAUCGAUUUCAUUGCUGUAUGGACGGAUCUCAACGAGCCUCCCGUUCUCGAUGUCUCCGACCACUGGUCAAUGUUCUUUGACGGAUCCUUGAACAUCAACGGCGCCGGCGCUGGGAUACUAUUCAUGUCGCCUAACAAGGACAAGCUGCGUUACGUCCUUAGGAUCCUCUUUCCGGCAUCAAACAAUGUUGCCGAAUACGAAGCAUGCCUGUACGGCAUAAGGCUAGCCGUUGAGCUGGGAGUCAAACGCCUCUACGUCUAUGGCGACUCUGCUUUAGUUAUCAACCAGCUCAACAAGGAGUGGGAUGCAACCCACGAGAAGAUGGAUCUCUACUGCAAAAAAAUUCGUAAAUGGGAAACCAACUUCUACGGCGUAGAGUACAUCCACGUGGUCUGGGAUAAGAACCAGGCAGCAGAUGCGUUGUCAAAGUUAGGGUCAUCUCGGGCCCAAAUCCCGCGGGGUAUUUUCGUCCAGGACAUCCAUGAGCCAAGUGUGGGCACAUGCCUGGUCGAAAAGCAACUCACUGAGGCACUGCUCAUAGACGAUGCCACUCCGACAACCAGUGGCCGCGAUUGGCGCACCCCGUUCAUAAGAUAUAUAUCGGACGGGUCAGGCUUUCAGGACAAAUCAGAGAAUGAACGCCUCAUUCGACGAUCAAAGAACUACAUACUGGUGGACGGCAAACUUAUGCGAAAAAAUGCAAGUUCCGAAGUACUGCUCAAAUGCAUAUCCCGAGAUGAUGGCAUCAAGCUCCUAGAGGACAUACACGCCGGAUCCUGCGGCAAUCACGCUGCAUCCAGAACGCUGGUUGGGAAAGCCUUCCGAGCAGGUUUUUAUUGGCCAACUGCGGUCAACGACGCCGAAAAACUGGUCCGACACUGCGAGGGAUGUCAGUUCUUCGCUAAAAGGACCCACGUACCUGCUCAUGAGAUUCAAACCAUCCCGUCAUCCUGGCCCUUCGCCUGCUGGGGGCUCGACAUGAUCGGGUCAUUUAAACUAGCCCCCGGCAACUUCAAGUUCGUUUUCGUGUUAAUCGACAAGUUCUCCAAGUGGAUUGAAUACAUGCCACUGGUCAAAGCAACCUCCGAGAAGGCUGUGGAGUUCCUUAAUCAAAUCAUACACAGGUUCGGGAUCCCAAACAGUAUAAUCACCGACCUGGGUACUCAGUUUACUGGCACCACAUUUUGGGACUUCUGCGAUGACAGGGGCAUAGUCAUAAAAUAUGUGUCAGUAGCUCACCCACGGGCCAAUGGUCAAGUUGAGCGCGCAAACAGAAUGAUCAUCGACGCCCUAAAGAAAAGGCUGUACACCGAGAACGACAGAGCUCCCGGUCGAUGGAUGAAAGAGUUACCGGCCGUGGUCUGGGGCCUCCGAACUCAGACCAGUCGAAACACAGGAGUGUCACCCUACUUCAUGGUUUACGGCACCGAGGCAGUCCUGCCGUCUGACAUAACCUUCGGUUCUCCUAGGAUUGAAAACUUCGACCAGUCAACAGCCGACAAAGCCAGAGAGCUCGAAAUCAACUGCAUGGAGGAAAAGCGUUUGAAUUCUUGUCUCCGAACAGCAAAGUAUCUCGCGGCAGUCAUGCGAUACCACAACAGGAACAUCAAGGACCGUUCCUUCGCAGUCGGCGAUCUGGUACUUAGGUGGAAAACAAGCCAAGAGGGAAUGCACAAGCUAUCCACUCCCUGGGAAGGACCCUUCGUGGUCGCCGAAGUCACACGACCCACGUCCUACAGAUUGGCAUACCCAGACGGAACACGCGUGCCUAACUCUUGGCACAUAGACAAAUUGCGCCGAUUUUAUCCAUAAGUUCUAAUAACUUUCGCAUGUAAAUAUCUUAUAGCUGUCAAUAAUAAAAGUUUGUCUUUUUUGCCUAUACUUUGUUACACGCAGAACUCGGAAAGCCUUCUGCAACGGAAGCUCUUAGCGACUACAAAGUCAAAUACAGUGGCACGUCACUCAGAUAAUUGUACAGCGCUCAAAAUAACAGUCAUGACAAAAGCAAACUUUAUUACAAACUUUACAUAUAAAGUUUACAAUAAAUACCCUGACGGGCAGACGCUAGUCUAUUCCUACAGUCUACCCUAUUGGCCUACUGCUCGGGCUGAUCACCCACCUGGCCCUGCUGCCCGGACGAAGGGGUCGGGGCCACCGGCGCCUGGCUGGUCGAGACCGCAGGCGUCGACUGCCCAUCUCCCGCAAUAGACGCGCCCGACAGCUCCCUGGCCGACCUGUCUGAACCCGGCUGGUCGGGGGGAGUGGCCGUUCCGUAUAGAUUGAUGUCGCCGAUCACCGUCGACGACAAGUCCAGCAGACCACCCCGAAGCUCGUCCGCCUCCUGCGGGCCGACCUCCUUGGGAUACCCUUUCUCCAGCCUAGUCAAGUCGACCAGGGGCUAGUGGGCGCGCACCAUGCUAAGGACAUGCGCGCCAGCAAACUCCCCGGCGUGCUUCACGAAUUGUUGGAGCCAGUCCCACGCCCGUUGCGCCUUUUCCACUGGAGUCAAUCUCGGCGUGCGGGGCUGGCUCUCCGGGAGCUCGGGACUGAUCAAAUCCAGAACCGGGGCCACUCCUCUCCAAAUCUUGUAGCAGUUGACCUUCCAGGAGUCCCGAUCCUUGACCAGAUCCUCCAGGUGCUUCUUGGUGUUUACCUUGAGCACUGCAAAUCAAGGAAGAUGUUAGUCUCGGCGUGUCAAACAGAGCGAUAAGAGGAAAACAACGGGAGCGGCGCGUGAUACCAGACAACUCACGGUCCCUCUGGCUUAGCUCCUCCGCUGCUCGGCGACCGGCCUCCAGCGCCCCGGCUAGCUCUUGACCGAGCUGCUCCUUCUCCUGUUGGAGGCGUGCCACCUCCUCCUCCAAGUCUACGUGAAUCACAGCCCGGUCAGUAAAGUAAACUACACAGCUACACAAAGCUGCUCGGAGCACGUGACUGACCUGACCGCUGCCGGUACUGGUCGGCCAAGCGACGAGUGAGCUCGAGACGACGCUCCUCCUGGGCGUUCACCUCGGCCACCUUCUCCCCAACCUUCGACCGCAGCCGGUCUACCUCCAUGGACAAGGCCUUAUUCUCGGCCACAAUUCCCUCAAUCUGGUCGAAGCAUCGUUUUUGGUACUUCGCCGUUUUCAUCGCGCCCUGCAAGAAAGAACACAUGUCGAACACAGGAACACUGCACAAAAGUUAUCCCAGCAGAACACAGGACCACCUACCUUAACCUCCUCCACGAGGCGCUUAGCCGCGCGCUCCACCCUCGCGGCCUCCUCCGUCUCCGCGAGCUCCUCGUGGCCAAUAAAGUGGUCCCCGCGUUGGCGCCACAUGUAGACGUGCUGGCGGCCAUCACGGGGACGACCCUGGACCUCCUCCACGUCGUCGUCGGAGGCCUCCUGGGACUCCUUGUUUGCCGCACUACCUCCGGCUGCAGUUGAGGGCAUCACUGGUCCCUGGCCUAGGCCAGAGGAGCCCACGGGCGAAGAAGCCCCUGCUCGGGGCGGCGUCAGCACCCUCCCUUCUUCGGCUGGAGGAGUUGGGACUCUGCUCACCUCCUCUACAACAGUACUUGGGGGAGGGACCCUUGCUGCCUCAUCACCCCUCGGCUAAGUGCUCGUCGCAGUACUCGCCGGGGCAGAUUGGUCCUCGGCGCCCGCCACCGCUACAGGUUGCUCUGUGACCUGUGGCGCGGCGUCUUCAGCGGCGGCAAUAGGAGCGGCCGUCCCCUGCUCCGUGGCUUGGUCGGGGUUGACGUCCGACGCCGCGCUACAUAACAGAGGGAUAUUUUCAACAACAGUUAAAAAAAAUCGCCAAAAUACGUAAGUCGAACACUUACAGGUCUGAGCGACGGUGGGUCGCGGUGAACCUCCUCCUUGCCCGGCCGGUCGGCACCUGUGCCCCGGUCUCCGCAACGUGAGGCGCAGGAGGGUCACCGGCCACCCAAUCAGCAGUGGUCGACACGCUGUCCGGACGGCUAUGAGGUCUCCGGACCAACGAUGGUGCGGCCUCCUCCUCCUCGUCAUCGUCGACGGUAAUCCGAACGAACCGACGACGCUUUGGCGCUCGGCUGCUCUCUGCUGGCAGCGUCGGCGCCGGCGACGGAUCCGCCGCCAUUGGCCUUUUCCCCGCCACUCUAUCCUCGGUGGUCGGGACGGGGCGGGCCUGGUCGUCCUCACUGAUGGUGUAACGAGUACACCGAGCAGCGUCUUCCUCCGGCGGAUAUUCUCCCGCAGGAUUCUCCAUUCCAGGUGCCAGUGAUACAUACACUGUGCACCGGUCGACAUCUCCGAUCUGCAAAAGUAACAAAGAUAAGUCAGCUGCAGACAACAUACGGAUGCUGAAGCGAAGUAAUCAAUAACAUACCUUAGGUGCUGGUCGCCCCAACUUGAAGGCUUGCACCCGAUCACUGCCACAGAUGAAGCCUCCGUCCGCGAAGUUGAACAGCUCGUUCAACAGCUGUUGUACCUCCGCCAUCUCCAAGAUCUCAGGUCGCAUCCUGGUCGGGUCCACGCUUCCGCCAUACUCGUACGCCGAGUGCACCCUCUUCUGGCAGGGCAUCACCCGACGGCACACGAAGUUGCCGACCACGCCUAGCCCGUCCAGACGCGACCAGUCGAUCAGCUGCAUCAGGUCUGCCACUUGACCGUCGUACUCUGGGCGAUCGGUCCAGCUCACCCUCUUCUCGGGGAUGUAUCCCACGUCGCAGAACGUGGAGCUACCCGGUUCCUCCCUGAUGUAGAACCACUUCCUGUACCAUUCAGUCAGGGAAGUGUUCCAGGGGCAGUGCAGAUAGCGGUUCUUCAUCCCGUCGCGAAGGUUGAGAUAUACUCGACCUGCAACCUUAGAGCCUCCAACUGCCCCCUUCUUUCUCAAACAAAAAAGAUAGCGAAAGAGAUUGAAGUGCGGUUCUAUGCCUACAUAGGCCUCGCACAAAUGGAUAAAAGUUGAAAUAAGAAGGAUUGAGUUCGGGUGCAGAUUGCAAAUCCCGAUCUCAUAAUACAAAAGAAGACCCUGAAGAAAAGGGUGAACAGGCACCCCAAAACCCCUCUUAACGAAAUCCUCGAACACGACGAUCUCACCGGCGCGGGGGUCGGGGUAGCUCUCCCCCUCCGGUGCCCUCCAGCCGCCGAGCUCCGGGCUGUGCAGUAGCCCCAUAUCGACGAGGUCACCGAGGGACUUGGCGGUGCUGCGGGAUUUCUUCCAUUCUUUGGCCAUCAGCUCGGCCCUCUUCUUUGAAUCGCUCUACGCCAUUGGAGGCGCGGAGGUGGAUUCGAGUUUGGAAGGUGUAGAUGAUUGAAGGAGGCAAGAGUGGAAGGCUUGAAGGCAAUGGUAGGGUAAGCAGUACAGGGGGAACUGUCGAGCUCUUAUAACCCACAACUUCACCCCUCCCACUUCCCACAUCCUCGGGAAGUGGGCGGGCCAUACGGCGGAUGCGGCGUUUCGGUUUUCAAUGAUUAUCGACAAUUAAUGCGGUGGAGUUUUCGUACAAAUUGAUGGUUUCUUUUUCUCAAACCGCGCAAAGGGCGGCCGUACAGUUGCCAGGCGCAACUUUUCAUGCAUCCAUCUGACAUCCCGUCAGGAGGUCUCGUCACGUCAACUUUUUCUGGAAAAAUUCUUCAAAACAAGCAGACAAAUAUGGCAGAGAGUCAACAAUCCAGGGACUGCACCGACCACCGAGCACUUGAUGCUCGGGGACUGGUCGAACAGUCUAUUAACUCGGAACUUCAACGACUGCACCGACCACCGAGCACUUGAUGCUCGGGGACUGGUCGACCAGUCUAUUAACUCAGAACUUCAAAGACCGCACGGACCACCGAGCACUCGAUGCUCGGGGACUGGUCGUCAGAUUUGUUGAGACUGCUCCGACCACCGAGCGCUUGCUGCUCGGGGACUGAUCGCUUAGUUUAUUGGUUUGGAAAUCAGCAAGCUAAAGAGUUCACCGACCAUUGUACACCCGGGGACUGGUUGACCAGAGCGUCGAACCGCAAACUCCAUGGUAACUGAGCAUGGGAUGCUUGGGGACUGGAUAAUUUCGGUUUUUUAAGACCUUGCUACAAGGUUCAUACUUCGCCUUCCAGCAAGCUCGGGGACUACAUCGGUACGAUGCAUCUAGCGAUGCAUCCCACAUACAAAGCAGCUUUGGAGAUUCUUCUUUGGACCCUGGCACCACGUGACUACGUCACCUGCUACCAGGCUCGGGGACUAAGUGGGCACACUUCACCUUGCGGUGAAUUUGCUUGUCUCGUUGAUGGACUGUACUUUUGAGAAAAGUAAAGUGGGCACACUACACCAAAAAAGGAAUAUUUUUUCUCGAGAGCACCAUGCAUUCUUCGAACAGUUGGCUUCUUUGAUGAUAAAGUUAAUCGGACGCCUUUAGAUUUGUUCAAACUGUUGUCGCAACUAUUUGGGCAAUUUUCAUAAUGAUUGAAGAUAUUAAGUUUCAUUGGUCAAAGAAGCUCAAGACGGCGUGUUACUUCACAAUACAUGGUGCUCGGGUACUAGCUGUGGGGGUAUAAAUCCCAAUACCCUUACGGCUAAACUUGGGCCAGGAGGCUUGGCCCAUUACGAGACAAGCUCAAGGUUUGAUCUGACUUCUCGGAGUUUCGCGCAAGGAAACAAGACGUGGAGAUCAAACAUGAUUCUAGUCGGUUAGAAUAGGAAUUGAUAUCGAACUAUCUAUGGCAAUUGUAACCGACUAGGAUUAGUUUCUAGAUCUGUAGCCCUGCCCUCCGGACUAUAUAAGGAGAGGCAAGGGACCCCCCUAGGACAUCAUAUUCUCUCAACACAAAUCAAUACAACCCGACGCAGGACGUAGGUAUUACGCCAACUCGGCGGCCAAACCUGGAUAAAAAGCUUGUCCGUGUCUUGCGUCACCAUCGAGUUCGUAGUUUGCGCACCGUCUACCGAUAAACUACUACCGUGGGUAUACCCCAAGGUAGACUGCCGACCAGCUUUCGUCGACACUGGUAUUCCCCUAUGAUCAGGUAUUCUGGUAGGAGUUCUGUAAAGUCCCUAUCGGCUGGAUGUCCAGCUGCAGGGAUCUCCACAGAGCCUCAGACUUAGUUCUAACUCUAGUUAUAUUGAUUAGAUGUUCUACUAACAAUUCUUUGCAUAGUUAUAUAAGAUAAAUGCCGGCUCAAGUAGUUGUUCUUUAUUUCUUUUAUUUCCUUAUUUACUCUUUAUUCCUUGAGGUUGCCCUCAUGAGUGUGUCCACUAUCCAUAUUUUAAGAGCUUGUCGUGACCCCUCAUUACACUAUGUCUACCCAUGCAUCGCAAUAAGUGAUCAUGCUACAAACCAAGCUAGAUGCAUUUGCUACACCCUCCUAUGGGAUUAAACACGAUAACCCUUGAAUACUCAUGGGUUGAAAUGCUACAAUGAUAGUUCUGUUCGCUUGCAGUUUUAUUCUUUAUAUUCAUGAACUAUUGAUCGGUGUACCUAAGUACCGCUACUUAAGAUCGUAAACUCUAUGCAUUUAUCUGGCGCCGUGCUACAUCUUUGCAUAUCGUAAGUAAGGAUGGUUAGGAUGGCCAUUCCGGCAUUUCUAAUUACUGUUACCAGACUGCACUGCUAAGGCUAGCGCCGUUAAAGGCCUUCUGUUAUCUCUCUAACAUAACGAUAGUUAUUGUAUACCAACACCCGACAUUUCUGGUGCCAUUGCUAAUGAUGAUUUUAUAGUGUAUCUUUAGUAGUGACGCUAAGAAAUGCCAACAAGCAUUUUUGGCACCGUUACCGGGGAGGGCAAAGAACAAUGCAAACAUCUAGCUUUGGCAUUUAGCAUUGAUUACAAAAUAAGCAUUGGUAGCCAUAGUUAGGCUUAUCUUUGUUGUUUCCUUCCUCUUUUUAUUGGAAUGGAAACAGGAUAGUGUAUGAGCGGUUUCAACUUGCCGGCAAACUUCAACAGCAAUUCGGAGGCACUCCUAAGGAAGAAAAGGACCCGUGUCGUUUCUUCCUCUACCACGCCGCCGACAGUCGAACCAAUCACCCCGCACCAUCUGUUUCAACCACCAUGGCCAGGUCACUCUGCAACUAUUCCACCCCCGCUGUAGCCAACGUGCCCGUUGGACCCGCAGUCAACACUGGGAAUGAAAACUUCGAGCUUCGCACUGGCCUACUCACGAUGGUGUAGGCAAACCAGUUCUAUGGUUUGCUAAGUGAGGACGCAAACGUGCAUCAACAGAACUUCCUUGAGUUGUGCGAAACCGUCAUCAUCAAGGAUGUCGCACCUGAAAGCGUCAAGCUCUACUUGUUUCCCUUUUCCCUCUCAAGGAAGGCGAAGCAAUGGUUCUACUAGACAAGAAAGCUGUCAACACGUGGGACAAAUGUUCCGCGGCAUUCCUCAUGAAAGUUUUCCCCAUGAGCAAAACAAAUGCUCUGAGGGGAAGAUAUCAAACUUCUAGCAGACUUCACUCGAAUCCAUUCCUGAGGCUUGGGAAAUGCUCCAGGAGUACAUCUGGGCCUGCCCCCACCACGAGAUGGAAGAUUGGCUCGUGCUUCAAAAUUUCUAUGACGGCUCACGCCCAUGUCUAUGGGGCAUGUCGAUGCCGCUGCUGGAGGCGCGUUCCUCUGCCAGACCAUUGACAAUGCUAUGGAAUUAAUUGAGAAGAUGGUAGCCAACCAGAGUUGGGGAGCGGGACGCAAAACACAAAAAGGCAUGCAUACCGUGAAAGAGAUGGAUUUGCUUGCCACAAAAAUAUACCUACUAAUGAAGAGAUUGAACAGACAGGCCACUGAUCCUACCACCAGCAUUGUCCAAGCCAUCGACUCGCGCAUGACGUGUGAGGAAUGUGGGAAUGUUGGCCACAUGGGGAUCAAUUGCCCUGGAACCCAGGAGGACACAUCGUUCAUCAACAACAGGUUCCACCAACAACAGCAAGGUAAUGGGUGGAACAACCAGAACCGCUCCCAAGAUAAUUACUCCAGUUUUAAUUCCUCCCAGACUUCGCUGAAAGAUCUUGUGCUAGGUCAGGCCAAAAUCAAUGAGAAUCUUGUUAAAAAGCUUUCUGAAAAUGAUCAAAUGUUUGUCAACACAAAUACAAAGCUUGAUGACCUGACCCUUUCUAUUAGAGAUCAGCUAGCUUUUAAGAAGAAGAUUGAGUUAAAAGUAGCUCAGCUUGCUACUGCCGCUAAAGCUGUUGUUUCUCAUGAUUCCAUGGAAAAUGUAAAUGCGGUGACCACGAGAGGGGGUAAGACCACUCGUGAUCCCCCUUAUCCUAACCAUAAGACAGGAAGGGCGCCACGGCAACAGGAGGAAACACAGGCAGAAGGGCCGGCUCAACCAUCAGAAGAAUCCAUGGAAGACGAGCCGACCCCAAACAACUAUGGGGACACCAUGAUGCUACCCUUUCCCACAAUAGAAAGGAGGAAGAAGAAGGACGGAAAUGAACAGUUCCUCCGCUUUGUGGAAAUGGUCGAAAAGACGCACGUUAGUGUACCGUUGAUGGAUGUCUUGCAUAUUCCGUCCUACUCCAAGUUCAUCAAGGACAUCAUCAACAAGAAGUGACCAUUGCCGUCCACUGAAGUUGUCAAGCUGACAGAAGAAUAUAGAACAGCUAUAUUCAAUGAGCUGCCCGAGAAGAAGCAGGAUCCUAGGUGCCCCACAAUCCCUUGCUCAAUUAGGGCCUAGCAAUUCGAGCACGCCCUAUGUGAUUUGGGGCGAGUGUGAGCGUCAUGCCGAAAUUAGUCUUUGAUAGGCUGAACUUCACCAGCUUGGAGCCAACCACCAUGACACACCAGUUGGCAGACUCGUUAGUCCGGUACCCGGCAGUGAUUGCUCAAGACAUCCCUGUCAAGAUCAGAGGAUACUAUGUUCCAGUGGAUUUUCUGGUGCUCAACAUGGAGCUCACUAAAGAAACACCACUAAUCCUAGGAAGACCAUUCUUGAGUACGGCUGGAGCACAGAUUGAUGUUGGGGCUGGAGAAAUCCGCUUCAACAUUAAUGGCCAAGAAGAGAAGUUUGAGUUCAGGCCACGUCGUCAAUAAGAGUGCAACAUGAUACGCAUCCUCUAUGGGCUAAACCCCCAAGGCAUCAGGCAAGUUGAGAUCCAGCCUAAACUUAUUAAAAAUACAAAAAUAUCUAAGAAAAAGCUAGAGCCAAAAGAAAAGGCGGCUCCUAAGAAAAAUAAUAACGAGCAGAAAAAGAAAAUAACUCCUUAAAAGAAUGAAAAGAGGGACGAAGUCCCCAAGCCUUCACAACCGAAGGAGGUGUGGAAACCAAAGCAGAAGGUUGAACAAACUUCCACACCUCCAAAGGUGAUACUGCUAAAGUGGAGGCCCAAGCAGGUGCAACCGCCUACUCCUCCCAAGACGGAUGUGCCAUCAUCAAGCAAGAAGUAAUGGGAGAAGAGUCCCGCUCAACGGACUAUAAAGAUGAGCCCUUGCCGAAGGUAAAUCGGUAAGUUAUCCCUAGGUAAGUUUUUACUUAUAAAAAAAUAUAAAUAUAUAUUUUCUUUUUACUUAUUUUUUUAUUUUUAUUCUUUCUAUUUAUGUUUUGAAUAAAUGGAGCAUUUGUUAUAUUUAUGAGUAGUCCAUAUUGCCCCUAUGAUCCUUUCUUCAUCUUUGAAUCUUUGUGAUCAUAGGUAUCAAUCACUCAUAAAUGCAUGAUAGUGUGAUAGCUUUUAGAAAGUUUUCAAAAUUCAAAACUCUAUCCCACACACUAUGACUCUGAUUCCACUAUGCAUCAUGAUUGAUCGUAACCAGGAUCGCAAAAUACUCAAAGAGGGAAAGAAAUACCCGAAAGACAGAGGCCGACUGGUGGACCUAGUGGGGCGGCGGCACCCCCAGGUCCGCCAAUCGGCCCCAAUCUUUUUCUCUUCCUCUUCUGCACUGAUUAGCAUCAUGUCUAUGGUUACGAUCAAGUUGUUUCCAGAUCAGAGACUGUGUUAGCACCUAUAAAAUCCUCCAUAGGCCUCUUCUCUUCUCACACCAACCAUUUCUCAUCUCCCUCUUGUGAAGAUUGCUAAGCUCUCCCAUUCUUCAGUAGUGACCAUGUCUAGCUAUGUGUUGGGUAUUCUUAACAUCAUUACAAAAAGUAGACUUAGUUUUCUAAUUCUGAUAACAGCGCCAAAAAUGCCGAACCUAUCACUCAUGCCACUUAAGCCAAGUUGUCAUCCCCAGCAUGACAUGAGAGACGCGGUAUUGAAAUAUGCAAUUACUCUUCUCAAUGAAUAAUAAAUGAGAUCUACAAGCACACAGAUUAAUACCGAUGUAGCAUUUUAACCGGGAAGUAUUCCAGGUAUUGUUAUUUAUAUUUUUACCACUGGAAAGGGAUUGCUAAUCAUCAAUGUUGAUUAUGGAAUGAAAUAUGAAAUUGAGUAUCUAUCAUUGCAUGUCCAAUAGAGAGCAUUUAUCUAUCUCUUUCAUAUAGUGAUAAAUGUCACAUAAAAUAUAGAUAAAGUAUGAAUGGUGACAAAGAUAAUUAAUCUGAUCAGCAUAACUAGCCACAUAUAAUAAUGAUAAGCACUUCAACAGAUAUUCUAGCAAGUCAUUAGCAUGGAAUUAUGAUGAACUACAAGAAUAUUUCCUAAGUUAUUCUUAACUAUAAAGUUUAGCAUAUUAUAGUUAGUGCUAUUAUACUUGGCAAUCAUUGCGAGAUAGGACUACACCCAUGCAUAAUGAUAUUAUCAAGGAAGAUGAGAAACAUAGCAAUCACUCCCCUGUAAUAAUGUUGCUCUUCCUACCCUAUACACGGGUGGGGGACUAUAUAAGAAUCAAUGGAGCUGUCACCACCAUGAACUACCCCGCGAUCCGGCACAUAGGAUACAAUCGUAGAUAAAUACGGUAUAGGCACCAUGCCUACACAAUACUUAUCAUUUACCCACUGUACACAUGGAUAAAUGCUAUACAAUCCUAAACAUGUAUAUAAUUAUAAUCUAACUAAGCCAAGCAUAUAACUAUGAUAAACUAAGAACGAUAUAAUUACAAAUAUAAAUAAGUAGAGCAAAGUCAUAAUCAAUAUAUUGAAGUAGAACAAAGUCAUAUUCAUAAUGUUGAAGAACAAUGAUGAACAAAUGAAGAACAUUAGAGGAAUUACCAAGAAUCCUCUUGACAGAUCCAGAAACCAAUCGAAGAUUGACUCCUUCUAGUUCUAAUCCUAUGUAGCUAUGCUAAACUAGAGAUCUAGUUGAUGUGGUGGCUCUAGGGCUUGAUCAGAGACUUCUUCUCUCGAGAUGAAUGAAUGAAUUAGGGUUUCCGAGGUGCCUCCUCUAGGGGCCAGGGGGCCUGCUUAUAUAGUCCCUCCAAAUGAAUAUGGGCCGUCGGAUCAAACCGAUCUUAAUCGCAUGGUUUUCCUUAAUCCUCUAGGUCGGUGGAGCAUUAUCCGCGAGACGGAGCUUGAUUGGCCCAGGCAGCAGGGCGGGCGCCUAAGGGGGGAGGGUGGGCACCCUGUCCCUGGGCCCGCUCGGCCUCCCGCUCGUUCCCGUGGCUUCUGGACUCUUCUAGGUUAGGGAAAAUUGCGCGACACGUAAUUAUCUCUAUGUAAAACCGACGUGUGGGCCUUUCCUCCAUAUUUCCUGAUAACCCCAUGUAGAAAUAGACAAACACCAAAACUCAUGGAAUUCUAUCAGAUAAAACCCUAACUCUGGGUGUCGGAUGCAUUUGGGUCCUUUUCUCUAUUUAUUUGUUGAUUAUAUUUAAUACUUAAGGACCAUCAACAAACUCCCCCAAGCUUAUCUCUUGCUCGUCCCUAAGCAAGGAUAAUCUCAGUGAUGGAUCAGAAGUUGUUGUAAUGCCUUUGAGUUUUGACGGUACACAUACUUUCAAAUAAGGUCUCAUCUCUGAGUUAGAGUAAACCGUCAAUACUUAAAACUUACUCGUUUUACCUUUCACCAUGGGACUUGUAACCAUCACUUCUGUCUUGAGCAGUUAAAAGAUAGAACGGUCUAGUCAAGGGCCAUGUCUCUUAUUCUUGAUCAGCUAUAGCUCUGGAGUUUUUGCAGAUUUUCAAAUAAAACUCAGAGAUUCCUUGUAUGACUCUCUCAGAUCUCUCUUUUGUGGUAUUUCUAGAUCCUUACCAAGGCAGUGAUGGUAUAUGGCUUCUCUCAAACUAUGUAGUAUUUGUGGUAUGAAGCAUAGUGACCUUGCCUUCUCUCUCACCCUACUUUAAUAAGGCUUUUGAUAUCUGGAGCUCAUUGGUGGGAGAUAGAGUAUACAUACUUACAAGACAUUUAUUACAUAGUCAAACCAUGGAUCUAGAGGAACAGGUCAAUAAGUCAAAUCAAGAUGUGCAUGUGUGGCGAAUGAAUGGUGUAUGGUGAUGAUGGUGAUAACAAUGGUGAAAGUCUAAUUCUACUUUUUGCUCUUUUGAGGGGAUACAUAUCGUUCUUGCUCUUUUGAAACUUUUUGAGGAGAAUGAGAUGCUCUACAUUUUCUUUUUAUUUCCUCUCAGGUGGGUAUCCUGUACCCUAAUUCUACUGUUGGACACUUGUCCUUUUUACCUCUCGUCUCACUUUUUCUUUUCUUUUGAGGUUCCAGGCACUUGCCUCUUUUUAUUUCCUCGUAUCCUUUCUCUUUUUUUAGAGCACUCAUCUCCUGAAAUAAUAUAGCAAGUGGUAGUAACCAAGAUAACUCGAGCAUUUAUUUCACAUGGAAAAACAGAAAUAGGAGAAUGUUUUUGGCUAUUCUCUCUCGGAUUAGUAGUAGAAUACUUUUGGGUGCCUCUAGAGACGGAAAUGAGUGGAUAUAUGUGAAUGCGUACUUCCAGAGUAGAAGCAGCAUGUGUGAGUGAACGUGCAAGUGAAUCUUGAUUUUAACUGCAUGACAAGCUCCUAAGGGUCUACACAGCUUGACCACACUCAAUGCUCAUAAGCAGUAAAAAGUAAAUGUGUGGCUCAAAGUCUAGCAAGCAUGUAUGUAUGGCUGUGGUAGGAAUUUAAACUCUCAUCAUACAGGAACUCAUCAUGUGAUAUUUUAAAGAUUUUCAAAGAUAAAAUUCUCCAGAUUUCUAGCAUCUCUAGGAAUAGAUAAACAGCAGCUUAACCUUCCCAUAUCAUAUCCGUUAACAACUUAGACUUCAGGUCAAGUUCUCUUCGCACAAGUUCUGGUUUUUAGAGCAAGCUUUAAAUUAUAACAGUUAUGUCUAAACUAGAGAGAGAACUAUUGCAGAACCACCCUAAUUAUAUGGCCCACAUGCACCUGUCAUUGUCCUUAAGACCUCUGACUAAUGCACAUGAGAGUCAUAUAACUCGGAUAGUCUGUCGGGUGCCCUCAGAGGACCCUGAAUCAUCCACAUUUUUUUACUCAUACAGGAUCAACAUGGAAUUACCACAACAUUACAACAUUUAUUACAAAAAAAACUUACAUCGGAGUGCAGAAGAUUUAUAACCUAAUUUACAAAAUAUGAUGAAGUACAAACUUGACUAAAUUUCCAAACAGUGUGUAGAGUAGCGGAAGCAACUUAGGUGAAGCUUCUAAGAUAGAAGAGGUGGACAAAUCAUGUCGCGCCCACCGACAUGACCUCCAUUUGCAGCAUAAGUCAACACCUGCAACAGGGGUUAUAAAACCCUGAGUACGGGAGUACUUAGGAAGACUUACCUGGCGAAAAAAGAGGAGAACUUAGGAAUGCAGGCUUUAGGGUCGACAAGGAGUGGCUGAGCAAGGAGCCAAGUUGUUUUGCAUAAAAGCUUACUAAUAGUGCAUCCUUACUUUCAAGUUUUACCCAUGAAUUGCUCGCCUCGAGAGGCCGAGGAAUUAGAGGACAGUCUAUUUAGUUGCUUUUCAUAGACAAGUCUAUGAUUUCCUAGUCCUAACCAAAAAUGUUAUUUAUCCGACGACCAUAGCUUCAUGUCACUCGGAUUUCGGGAAUUGGGAUCCGAACCUCAUGAGACAUUUUCUUUUUCCCUAUUUUAUAGCUUAGUUGCAUAUUUAACUAUGAUGAGGGUCAAAGGAAUUGAGUCUCCCAAUCGGGGAGCAAUGACGAUUCUAAUCGCUUAGCAAUCCAGCUGGAGUUCCUAACCACCCGACAUAUGUAGAACCGAAUCUUGCAUAUGUCAACCCAAAAUCUAGCUUUCCCAAGAUCUGAACGGGUUCGCGUCACCCAAGAGCACAGUACCCCACCGUCCAGCCCAUUUGCCAGGUGGGUACACGCUACUCUCGCCAUCGCCCUACGCCCAGUGCGCGAGUAGCCGCUCUCGUCGAGGAAUCACAAGACCGGGCUUACCGAGGGCAAGUGGUUAGUACUAUAAAUUCUCAACCCAGCAGGCCAUCAACAGACCGGUCCUUAAUCGACACAGUUGGAGACACUACUUUAAGACUCCAUUCUUAAAGCAAGUCCACCAACCGGUCUGAGGUUGAAACAUCAUUGACCAUAAAAGUAUUCCACAACAACCCUUCAAACUUUCUAGUUUGAAAACCUAUCUAAUAAGCAGGGCUAAGCAUCACUACGUAAUUUUAAAAUAAACAGGUGCCAAGGACAAGAUAACAAAUAUCAAGGUAGUAAAUGCAAUAGGAAGGUUAUGCCCAAUUCUUGACUACGUAAUGCAACAUUUUCAAUUCAUAAGUGAUAAAAGAUUUAAAAUAUUCAAGGAGGGGUUGAAUGCAUCCGGGGCUUGCCUUGGUUGCAGAGCUGAGUGGGUUCCUUAGAGACUUCCCAAGUCUCGGUUCCAACUUCCUCGAACGGAACACCAACCUCGGGAUUUGGAUCAACGGUCACUCCUUCGGUGACGUGCACUAUACGUAAAAUGAUGUAUGCUUAUGAUAUGCUUAUGACAACAUAUAAGAAGGAUUUAGUUGAGUACAACUUUUCUUCUCGCUGCAAAAGCAGGUUAAAACAAUAAUCAAAUGUUGUUUAUCACUUUAGUGUUUUUACCCAAGAAGUUGCAACAGUAAGCUAAGACCUUUCUUAAUUUAUAAUUAUUCUCAAUUAAUUAAUUAUUAAUCUCUUUUAUCAUAACUAAUCUUUAAUUAAGCAUUAAUGACAGUAAUUAAGCAUCGGUACCAAACAAUAAUUAAAUGCCAAAGGUCAUUAAGGUUAACGACCCCAGGUCAUCACACAAUCCCAAAAUCACUCAAAUCCUAAUUUAGAAAUUAAGCUAAUUACUAUCUAAUUAUUUUAGAAUUAUUACUUAAUUACUAAUUAAGGGUAUAUUAAUAUUUUAAUCAAAUUUUAUCCAAACACCGCCAAACUUUUUGUGAAGCCAGGAAAUAUUACUCAGAGACACCUCACAGAUUUUGGUGAUUUUUGGACAUAUAAAUAAAUUCCUAAAAUUCGUGGAAGUUCUAUUUACUAAAUAAAGGACACAAUUUUUGAACAUGCCUAAAGUAUCAGAAAAUGAAAUCUAACAUUUUUCUUAUAUUCUACUUACUGUACAGAACCUAUACAGAAAUUUUCAUCAUUCUUGAAUCUGCACAACUUUUUCUAUACAUAUUCAAACAUAAAUCAAAUUUGCACACAUAACCAGGACAGCAGCAUAUAUGCAACUUCAUUCAACUAUAAUUAGAGAUCCAAGCAUCCAAUAAAGGUGAUAUUACACUUUCUAGAUUAGAUAAUUAUCUAGGACCUGGUUAUUAUUUUCAAGAACUGAUUCAAUAGGUAAAUUGCCAAACAGCAUGAAGAAAUAAUCAUGUCUAGACAUUGGACAGAAUCAACCAUUAAGCUUUAAAUAUCUAUAACCAGAGUUCUAGAUCACCAAAAUUCAUGAUCCAUAACAUUUUGGAAAGCUUAUGAAAAUUACUACAAUUCAUCUUUUAUCAUUAAAGCAUGAUUCAUAAGUUUAGCAAGUUAAAAUUACACUACUACAGAAACUGAUCCAGGAUUUGACAGAGGAGAACCAUUUCUAAAACUUAAAUUUAAACAGGCAUAAUUCAGAAAAUACAGAGACAAAUGCCACCAAAAUUUAACACCUGCUAGAUACAUGAAUUCUAUAAAACUUGGUUAUAGACAAGUUUCAUAUCCAACAUUAUUUACUUAGAGCAAUUCAUAAUGCUCUAGAAAUUGUCGAGAAACCACUAACAUUUAAAUUAUAGCGAAAGAACAUUUCAUUUAUGUUCCAAACUUGAACCUUGGCAAAACUCAGCUUACCAACAGUUGAAAUACAUCAAAUAAAUACUAGAAAACAUCAUGGUCAUCCCUAAAUAAAUUCCUUUCAUGUCUUUAUUAAUUUAUUUAGGUAAAUAGACAAAGUAAUAACCAUAUAUCAAAAGUACACAGUAAAACCUGAGAAAACUACAACAGCUCAUAUAUGCUCUCCGAAGUCUACUGUAUAAAUUUCAUGCCAUUUGGAUAAGUAUAGCAAUUUCUAUGAAAAAGAUAAUUUUCCAUCACAAGGAAGCAUGUAACAGCAAGAUAAAUAAGAAACUCAACAUUUUUACAAACACAUAGCUAAAUUAUGUAUCUAUAUGAUAUAACAACCUCAUAUAAAGGUAGCGGAACCAUAUUUUACAUUUAUUUAUUUUUAGUUUAAUUGUAAACUAUUUAAUAAGCACUAAAAAAGAUAAAUUAAUAACUUAACCAUAUAUCAUCCACUGAACAUGAAAUCUUUACUGUAACACUCACAUAACAUCAUGAGAACACCAUAAAAAUCUAGGGCCCAUAGGAGCUCCAUAGAAUUAGAUAUGAAUUUCUACUUUUUAAACAUAAUUAAAAGGCAUAAAUCAUAACCAAUUAUUUUACUACAAAACAUGGCCAGUUUCAUUUUGUAAUAACAACUACACAUCUCAAGGAGCACAACAAAAUUUGGUUCACCAAAAUUGGAGUUACCAAACUCCAUAUAUGAAUUUUCAGAGAUCUAACAAAACAUCUACAAACAGGUCCUGAUGGCACUAUUCAGUUGAGUCACGAACUUCGCAGUUAGACCCUUGCCUUGUGUCGAAUUCUAACGCGAAGUCCCUGGCGCAAAUUGAAAACAGAGGAGGCGCACGGGAAAGCUGGAUUUCCGACCGGUGAACGUCUGUUGGCGACAAGGGAGAGGUGCUGGAGCAUGGUUGGGCCUAUGUGCACCCUCUGGUGACCACGGCUUGCUGCGACAAGGUCUGAGGUGGCACGGCCACGGUGAAGGGCACAGCGGAACACUAGCGAUGCAGAGAGAAGCGAUGGCAACGUCGCGAUAUAGCGGCACCAAGGCACCCUUGCAGCUUAACCAGUGCGUAGCGAUGCCGCGAAGCUGCGACAGAAGCAAAAAGGUGGCUAGAAGGGAACUGGGGCGAGCUUGAGCGGCGGGCGGGGCUUGCCGGCGCUAAGCAAGAUGACCAGAGGAAGGGGCUAUGGCGGUUCUGUGGUGCGGAUGAGGGCGACCAAGAGGUAAAGAGGAUGACGAGCAAGCUGCCAAGCAGCUGCGUGUCCGGGCGCGUGGCGGCGUGGGACGCUGCACGUCCACCGGCGGCACUGCCGCAGUGCAUCCCCCUCCGUGAGCACUGUAGCAGGUUUUAUCCCUCCUUUCUGUUUUUUUCAAUUACUUCACAAUUUUGAAUAGAAGUCAAAUUUUGGUCAAAACAAAGUUUGUUCAAAAUUUGAAACUCUACAAAACUUAUUUAAGGACCCAGAGCCAAUUUUGAGUGGAAGUGUAUGAAUUUGAGUAAAACGGUAUGAAAUUCAAAUUCAAAAUUGGGGGAAAAUCCAAUUUGAAUUUGGUCAGAACGGAAAUUCCAAUAUUACAUUUGAUUUUGCAUAAUGACUUGAAAAAUUCUCAAAAUAAAAGUUGUUCAAUUUGUUGAGCUCUACAACUUUCAUGUUGGUCACUUUUCAAGAUUCCAAACAGAUUUUGAAUUAGGGAUUCAAAUUGGAAAAGAGGACAAUUUGUGGAAAUCUGUAUUUUCAAAAUUACUUUGAAUUUUGUAUUGAAACUUCAAAAACUCAAAACACCAAAGUUGUACAUCUUGACAAGAUCUACAACAUUUCUUUAGAUCUCAACCUAAAAUUUUACAUAGUUUUUAAAUUGCACAAAGGAGGCAAAACUAGAGUUUUAAAAUCAGGGUUUCCCCCCCUUUUUCUCGGAAUCCUCCAACACAAGGGAUUUCACAACCACGCUAGCAUAAUUGCACUAUAAAAGCACACUUUAUUUCCCUAAGCACAAGCAACCAAAGUAAACUUGUUUUAAGUUGAUGCAUCAGGUGGUGCAUAAUCAAUAUGCUAUGCAAUGCUUAUGAUGACAUGAUCCAGUUUUAGUAUCCGUAACAUCAGGGAUGUUACAAGAACUUCAAAUUUGAAAAUUAGGCAGAGCAACUAUUCAUCAUAUCCAUGCUAGAGUUUUAUUAAGAUUUAGUUUAGCAUAGCCACUUUAUUUAUUUAUUAAGCACACUAAGCAAAAGAUAUAUAUAUAUAUGAGCACAAAAUCUUAUUGGUUUUUCAUGGUUAUGUAUAUUUUUUAUUUUAAUAUAGUAUAAGUAUAAAUGUAGGUAGAAAUACUUAUCGGGAUAAAUGGGGGUGCUCUCCCCCAAGCUGGAUUUUGACGUAAUUUCUUCUGAUGUAGCUAGCAGGUGGUGGAGGUGUUUUUGAAAGUCGGCAGCACCCUGACAGCGAUUAGAAUGUCCUCCGUCCGCUAGUCUUCUUGAUCCUUGAAUUCUGUGGAGCUCAAAUAGACAACAAAGCUUUGUGGAACUAAUUAGGUGUUAGCAUAAAUAUCUAGCCUUUAUCAUGUUGAGCAUCCUCAAUAAAUGCUACUUUCUUUGGUAGGAUCACAAUUUUAUUUUUAUAUUUUCAUUUUUAUAGAGCAGAAGCAUAUUAUUAUUAUUUUUUAUGCCACCAUAGUGAAUGUACUUAUGGGUUUUAUGCCAUUUGUAUACUCACAUGGUGCUUACUGGUUUUAACAUUUUUAUUUUUCUUUUCAAGAUGAUAUGAACCUGAUUAACUGAACUAGCUAUUUUUAAGAAAAAGUAAAUGAUUUAAAAGGAAAGAGAUAACUACCAAGUUUACCUCUUGGCAAGGCGUUCGGUGUUUUUAAGUCCUCUGAACGGUACUCUCUGUUUUCUCAGUCGUCCUGGGAUUCGCUGGAUGGCGUAGUCGGUGGUUCCGGCGGCGCCUCGUCUUCGUGUAUAACUAUCAUCUCUCUACACACCUGACUCGGUGCUACGGUCUCCAUAGGACAGUUCUACUCAAGCUAUAUGUCUUAAGACCUUACCACUUCUUCUUUGUAGUCUGCCCAUCCGUCCUUGAUGAUUUGCCUCCUCUGGUUCGGUUACAUCGUCUUCUUCUUGUGCUGACCUACUUAGAGUCUUCAACUAUAUAGUUAGGGUCAGCAAAAUAGCGGCGUACCUUCUCAGAGGGGAAGUGCAUGUUGUUGACGGUCCUUAAGUAUCAAAUUUAGUCAUCAUAUAAAUAAAGAAAAUGAUCCAAAUGCAACCAACACCCAGACUUAGGGUUUUAUCUAACAGAAUUCCAUGAGUUUUGGUGUUUGUCUAUUUUUGCAGGGGGUUAUCAGGAUAUAUGGAGGAAGGGCCCCAAUGUCGGGUUUACAUAGAGAUAUUAACGUGCCGCGCAAUUUUCUAUCAUCUAGAAGACUCCAGAAGCCACGAGAACGAACCGGAAGCCGAGCAGGCUCGGGGGCAGGGCGCCCGCCCUCCCCCCUUGGGCGUCUACCCAGCUACAGGAACCAAUUAGGUUCCGCCUCGUGGAUUAUGCUCCACCGACCUAAAGGAUUAAGGAAAACCGUGCGAUUAAUGUCGGUUUGAUCCGACGGCCCAGAUUCACUUGAGGGGACUAUACAAGCAGACCCCCUGGCCCCUGGAGGAGGCACCCCCCUUGAUCCCUAUUCAUUAUUCAUAGACAGAGCAAAAGCUAGGGUUUAGAGAUGAGAGCUCUCCUCUCAUCUCUAAACUAGAGUAGAUCUAUAUAGUAUCGAGAUGGAGAGCGAGGGAGGAUUAGAGGAGAGGCCGGCCUGUCGGUUCUUCCUCCGGUUGUACUUCGCCAUGAUCAAGCUCUAAUCAAGCUUGCUCAUGGAAUGACUGUGGUAAUCUACUUCUAUUUCAUUAUGCAAUUACUAUCCAUGUAUGUUAUGGUUCACAACUCUUUUGAGUACUUUAAUCUAUAGGACGCUAUAGGUGAGAGUUUUAGUAUAGGUGUAAGCGUGGUGCUUAGACCUAGAUUACUUGUGGAUAUCACUUGUUAGCCGGAUCGUGUGGUAGGCCGCGUAUGUGACAGCUAUGUUGGUCCCCUGUAGUCCACCUCCCGUUAGCAGGACUGGUAGGGUUUAUCGGCCUAUGGACAAGCAUCCUUUGUGGUGUAUUCUUAUCACGUGGUUCGUCCCAGACAUAGACAUACCUCUUUGAAGUAGAGAAACCAUAGUUAUCCUCUCUAUUCUCCUACCAUCGCCCAUAUACUAGAUUGCUCUACACUCUAUUCCCAUAUUAUCACCCAUUGUUAUCUUACCUUUAAUAUUGUUCUUAUUCGAUUCUACGAUCUUUCCUAUUUACACCUACCUAUCUAUCUAGGUUAUGUUAGAGCGUAGAUCAGUUCUCCCGUUUCCCUGUGGAUACGAUAAAACAUUUAACCGAGUAAAAGCUACAACGGUAUCCGUGCGCUUGCGAAUUUAUCUGUGUGCGUAUAAAUACCAUAGUACACUCUAGUGCCAUGUUGGGGAUGACAACCUAGUAUUCAAGUGGUGAUAGCUAGUGUCAACAAGUAUUUUUUGCGCCGUUGCCCGGGAGACGGUUGCUGAGUUGACUACAAACUAGCUUAAUCAUUUUCUAAAAAAUAAUAAUAAUAAUAAUAAUAAAAAAAUAUUUCCUUUUGUCCUUUGCCUCAUCUAUGCUAUUCUUUCUUCUUAUCUAAUCCUUGAUUUCUGGUCUAUCAUAAAUGCAAACAUGUCUAUCUAUCAGUUUCAUAGACCUACGAGCACACAUCUCGAACCACCAAAAUCUUCAAAGCCUAUCAUAGCAUCUAGUUUUGAGAUAGACCCCGAAUACAUAGAAUUUGUUAAAAAACAACCUUUCUCAGGAGAAGGUGAGGAAAACCUAUACACACACCUAUGAGAGUUUUAUCGAGUCUGUGACCUCCUUCGCAUUGAAGGCAUAUCCGACGAGACACUUAAAUGGAAGCUCUUUCCGUUCUCUUUAACAGGAAAAGCUAGACAUUGGUACAAACUCAAAGUAGGGAGUGUUCAUGAAGAUUGGAAGGAGUUAUAUAAUAGUUUUCUUUUUAAAUAUUUUCCAAUCUCCAAAGUGGCGGAACUUCGGCGUGAGAUUAUUUCUUUUAGACAACUGGAAGAAGAAUCUCUUGGCAAAUCAUGGGACCGCUUUAUUAACCUUACUCUCACUAGCCCAAAGCUUUCUAUUCCAUAAGAAGUUAUUCUAAUUCACUUUUUUGAGGGCCUUAGUAGGUAAAAUAAGCAAAACCUUGAAUACAACCUCUAGAGGAUGCUUCUAUCACCUACUUGCUAAUGAAGCUAGGGAUUUAAUCGAUUCAUUGAGUGGAAAGUUUCCUAGCAUUUAUAUCCCUGAGGAAGAGAAAGAACCAGAUCCUAGACAGGAAGAGGAAGUUUCGAUAGCCAGAUCACAACUACUUCAAUCCCAAACUUUAGCUAUCGAUCCUAAACCAUCAAUACCCCAAAAUUCUCCAAGGAAGGAAUUCCAACAUUAAAUCUUUUAGAUACUGAUGGUUUAGACUUCUGGUUCCAUAAGAGACUUUUAAGCAUAGAUAAUUCAAAUCCUUGCAAUAAUGGUUCUCUUAGAGAAUGUCCUGGUUCCUAUUAUGAAGAAGUCGAGGAUGACAUAUCAAGUGAAGGAGAGCUAAACCAUAUAGAAGAUUCUAUCUGCUCCCCUUCCAUGUUCACAAAUUCUAAAUCCAUCCUUGACCUUAGAGACCCCUCUUAUCCCUCUCCUUUUCAGUCUCAUGAUGAUCCUAACAAUCCAUCAAGAUGAUCAAACCAAAGGAGUCAUAAAGACCAUGAGGAUGACAUGUCAAGUAAUGUCAUAGAAGGAGAGCUAAGCCAUAUAGAAAAUUCUAACACCUCUCCUUUCCUAAUCACAAGUUCUAAAUGGCUAGAAUGUGUAGAAUGGAUGGAUAAGGAAGAAGCCUUAAUGGAUUCUGACUUUGGCUCAAUUUCAAAUGAUGAGUUCUUGACUCCCUUUGGAGAUGAGAUUCAUCCAACUACUGAAGAGGACAUAGGUGAGACCAAUCCAGGAGAAACUCCGAACAUUGAGAUUGGAGACGAAGAUAACAUUAAUGAGCAUGGAAUUUAUUUCAUAGCCACUUCGUUUACUCCAUGCUCAUAUGCAACAUCUUCCCAAUCUAUUGGUCUCUCCAACAUCACCACAUUUGAGAUCUCCAGCCCCCUCUUCCUUUCUAUUUAUAAAAACUUUAAAAGGGCGGUUGUCGAUGUUUAUGUCUAUAAUAAAUAUUGCAGAUCUCGUUGAGUUGAUCUUGAUAUAGGUCAGCGUUAGAAGGGAAACCGCUUCGCCGACAUAAAUUGAUGGUUUCCUAAGGACAAGCUUAGUGUCCUAAAAUAAGCGCUUAUCAGAUCGUAACAUAACCUUGCCAUAUUGCCUUGUAUAUUGAGCAUAUAAAGAUAAUUGUGAAAAUAUUCAUUUGGGUAUUCUUGUCACUAACCUUUCUAGGAUUGGAGCAAGAAGAUUCGAUGAAUGACAAGCACAAGGUAUGUCUAGCCAAUCAUCAUACAACAUUGAAUUAAAUCCAAACUUGAAUUUUGCAAAAUUCAAACUUGGGGGAGUACUUUACAUAAAAACAUCCUUUGCCAUGUUCCUAUGUUGGUUGUCCCUACCUUUGAGACAUGCUCAAUUUGUUAAAUACUAAUCACACUACUUCAUCUCCACUUGAUUAGAUCUCUAUAAAUGCCAUCACGCUACCUUUGUUUAUCCUAGUAAGCGUUAGUUUGGAAGUACUGCACAUACUUCUAUUGGCUUUUAAAUUAAGCAUGGUGCUUAGGUUAAAAAGCCUUCCUUAAUCUGAUUAGACAUGGAGUCUAGUUCGGUUAUUGAACUAAAAACUACUUGUGUAGACAUUGGUAUAUUUUGUCGGACUAACCCCUGUAGAAAUAACAUUCAAUAUCGAUUUGGGAAGUCCUGAGAUAAACUCACAUCGGAGAUGAAGAGAGAGACACAUGAAGUUUAACAAUUUGCACAAGAAGGACAUAGCUCAUUCAUCAUAGAGAGAUGAUCCAUGGAAGGAGACAAAGUACAUAAACAAGAUACACAACCAUUAAGAAAGGAAACCUUCCAGAAGGUGAUACUGUACCAUCAGUCUUCAAGUAAGGUAACAUCUUAAGGUACUUGACUAUCACUUUUAUAAGCUUCUCCUUGGUUCUGACGUUCACAUAAAUAAAGAGACACACAUGUAUGAUUUACAACUCUAGGUUAACCAACCCAAUCGAUUCAACAUGUUUAGUCCUUCCACCUUUACGAUCCCACACUCCUAAUCAGAUGAGCUAAAAUGUUGCACACUCAAUCUUGGAAGAUAUAUAAAAAACAUAAAUAUAGAUAGAUUAUCUUUCUAUUAGGUUGAGCGAUCUGAUCUGGCAAAUGUUUUAAAUGCUACACUCAUGAUCUUAGUAUCCAUCAACUUUGUCUUGCUCACUAUGCUUAAGGUUAGAGAAGAACAAAUACACUUUUGGUUCUGUUGGUGUUUUCCACCAACAGGGCCCAUGCACUUGAUCUCUGCCUUGUCUCUAUGAGCAGGUACACCUCGAGCAAAACAUGGAGGAGUUUUACAACUCCCAGACUCCACCAAGUGAAGGACCUGGAUCUACGAGCACAAACACACUGAGCAGGAUGCUGCCAACACCGCACUUCGAACUGUUGGGCAAACGAAGAACAUGGGUGACACCAUAUCAAGAGGUGCAGAUGUCAAGGUCCACACCUGAAUCACAUGACACACGUGAAGAAUGAACACGGUGAGAAGCCUUGUUCAGAAGACUUAAAACAUUGAACCCUCGCCGAAAGGUAAAAUCAGUAGUUAUCUAUAUUUAUCCUUUCUGCAUUCCCUUUUCCCAUAAAUUAUUUACUUUCCUUAAAUGGCUUGUUAGUUAAUCAUGCUAUCUUGAAAAGAAAUUAAAAAUGUUAAAAACAGUAAGCUCCAUGUGAGUAUGCUCGUGGCAUAAAACCCAUAAGUACAUUCACUGUGGUGGCGUAAAAAUAAAAAUAUUCCUGUCCUAUAAAAAUGAAAAUAUAAAAAUAAAUUUAUUAUCCAACCAAAGAGAGUACCAUUUAUUGAGGAGGCUCAGCAUGAUAAAGGCUAGAUAUUUAUGCUAACACUUUACUAGUUCCACAAAGCUUUGUUGUGUAUUUGAGCUCCACAAAAUUCAAGGAUCAAAGAAGACUAGCAGACGGAGGACGUCCUAAUCGCUGUCAGGGUGCUGCCGACAUUCAAAUACACCUCCACCACCAGCUAGCUACAUCAGAAGAAAUUACAUCAAAAUCCAGCUAGGGGGAAAGCACCCCUAUUUAUCGAGUUAAGUGUUUCUACUCACGUUUAUACUUUACUCAAAUAAUAAAAAGAUGCAUAAUCAUAAAAACCCAAAUAAAGAUUUUGUGCUUAUAUAUAUAUAUAUAUAUAUAUCUUUGCUUAGUUUGCUAAAUAAAUAAAUAAAUAGAGGUUGCUAUGAACCCUCAUGAUAAGCUCUCACAUGGAAAUGAUGAAUAGUUGCUCUGCCAUGACUAGUUCUCAAAAUUGAAUUUUCUCUCAAGUUUAGGCAUGAUUGUUAUGAAUUAAGAUUCGCUCUAAACCUGAACUUGUGGGAAGAGUACUUGAUCUAAAGUCUAAGUCGUUAACGGAUAUGAUAUAGGAAGGUUGAGUUGCUGUUUAUCUGUUCUAGAGAUGCUAGAAUUCUGGAGAAUUUUAUCUUUGAAAAUCUUUAAAAUGUUGCAUGAUGAGUUCCUGUAUGAUGAGAGACUAAAAUCCUACCACAGCCAUAUAUACAUGCUUAUUAGACUAUGAACCAUACAUAUACUUUUUACUACUUAUGAGCAUUGAGUGUAGUCAAGCUGUGUAGACCCUUUGGAGCUUGUCAUGUGGUUAAAAUCAAGAUUCACUUGCACGUUCACUCAUACAUGCUACUUCUACUCCGGAAGUACGCAUCCACAUACAUCCACUCCUUUCCAUCUCCAGAUUCAACCAAAACUAUUCUACUCCUAUCAAGGAGAGAAUAGCCAAAAGCAUUAUUCUAUCCCUGUUAUUCCCUGUAAAAUAAAUGCUCGAGAUAUUUUGGUUACUACCACUUGCUACAUUAUUUUAGGAGUUGAGUGCUCGAAAAAAAGAGAAAAAAACGAGGAAAUAAAAAGGGGCAAGUGCCCGGAAACUCAAAGAAAAGAAAAAGUGAGACGAGAGGUAAAAAUGGACAAGUGUCCGACAGUAGAAUUAGGGGUACAAGAUACCCACCUGAGAGAAAAGAAAAAAAAAUAUAGAGCAUCUCAUUCUCCUCAAAAAGCUUUAAAGUGCAAGAAAGGUAUGUAUCCCCUCAAAAGAGCAAAUGUAGAAUUAGACUUUCACCAUUGUUUUCACCAUCAUCACCAUACACCAUUCAUUCGCCAAACAUGCACAUCUUGAUUUGACUUAUUGACUUGUUUCUUCUGGAUCCAUGGUUUGACUAUGCAAUAAAUGUCUUGUAAGUAUGUAUUAGCUAUCUCCCACCUAUGAGCUCUAGAUAUCAAAACCUUAUUAGAGUAGGGUGAGAGAGAAGGCAAUGUCACUAUGCCUCAUACCAAAAAUACCACAUACUUCGAGAGAAGGCAUAUACCAUCAUUGCCUUGGUAAGGACCCAGAAAUACCACAAAAGAGAGAAUUGAGAGUCAUACAAGGAAUCUCUGAGUUUUAUUUGAAAAUCUACAAAAACUCCAGAGUAUAGUUGAUCAAAGAACAAGAGACAGGCGCUUGACUUGACCGUUCUAUCUUUUAACUGCUCAAGACGCAAGUGACGGUUGCAAGCCCCAUGGUGGAAGGUAAUAUGAGUAAGUUUAAAUCUUAACAGUUUACCCUAACCCAGAGAUGAGAUCUUGUUUGAACGCAUGGGUACCUUUUAAGACAUGAAACCACUGUAGAAACUCUUGAGUCCAUCCUUGCUCAGGGGCGAGCAAGAGGUAAGCUUGGGGGAGUUGUUGACGGUCCUUAAGUAUCAAAUUUGGUCAUCAAAUAAAUAAAGAAAAGUAUCCAAAUGCAACCAACACCCAGACUUAGGGUUUUAUCUAACAGAAUUCUACGAGUUUUGGUGUUUGUCUAUUUCUACAGGGGGUUAUCAUGAAAUAUGGAGGAAAGGCCCACAUGUCGGGUUUACAUAGUGAAAUUAAUGUGCCGCGCAAUUUUCAAUCAUCUAGAAGACUCCAGAAGCCACGGGAACGAACGGGAAGCCAAGCGGGCUCGGGGGCAGGGUGCCUGCCCAGCUAUAGGAACCAAUUAGGUUCCGUCUCGUGGAUUAUGCUCCACCGACCUAAAGGAUUAAAGAAAACCAUGCGAUUAAUGUCGGUUUGAUCUGACGGCCCAGAUUCACUUGAGGGGACUAUAUAAGCAGACCCCUGGCCCCUGGAGGAGGCACCCCCCUUGAUCCCUAUUCAUUAUUCAUAGAUAGAGCAAAAUCUAGGGUUUGGAGAUGAGAGCUCUACUCCCAUCUCCAAACUAGAGUAGACCUAGAUAGUAGCGAGAUGGAGAGUGAGGGAGGAUUGGAGGAGAGGCUAGCCUGUCGGAUCUUCCUCCGGUUGUACUUCGCCAUGAUCAAGCUCUAAUCAAGCUUGCUCAUGGGAUGACUCUGGUAAUCUACUUCUAUUUCAUUAUGCAAUUACUAUCCAUGUAUGUUUUGGUUCACAACUCUUUAGAGUACUUUAAUCUAUAGGACGCUAUAGGUGAGAGUUGUAGUAUAGGUGCAAUUACUAUCCAUGUAUGUUCUGGUUCACAACUCUUUAGAUUACUUGUGGAUAUCACCUGUUAGCCAGAUCGUGUGGUAGGCCGCGUAUGUGACAGCUACGUUGGUCCCGUGUAGUCCACCUCCCGUUAGCAGGACUGGUAGGGUUUAUCGGCCUAUGGAUAAACAUCCUUUGUGGUGUAUUCUUAUCACGUGGUUCAUCCCAGACAUAGACAUACCUCUUUGAAGUAGAGAAACCAUAGUUAUUCUCUCUAUUCUCCUACCAUCGCCCAUAUACUAGAUUGCUCUACACUCUAUUCCCAUAUUAUCACCCAUUGUUAUCUUACCUUUAAUAUUGUUCUUAUUCAAUUCUACCCUCUUUCCUAUUUACACCUACCUAUCUAUCUAGGUUAAGUUAGAGCGUAGAUCAGUCUCCCGUUUCCCUGUGGAUACGAUAAAACCUUUAACCGGGUAAAAGCUACAACUGUAUCCGUGCGCUUGUGGAUUUUUCUGUGUGCGUAUAAAUACCAUAGUACACUCUAGUGCCAUGCUGGGGAUGACAACCUAGUAUUCAAGUGGUGUUAGCUAGUGUCAACACAUGUGGACUUCUCUGGUUCCAAUAUAGAUGAUUGCUUUAACGGUGCUAAGGAACGGUCUCCCAAGGAUGAUGGGUGGAUCGUACUCGUCUUCACCCAUGUCAAUAACCUGAAAAUCUGUAUGGACAAAAUGAUCGUCUAUUUUGAUAGGGACAUCAGUUACUAUACCUUCAACCUUUUGGAAUGUCUGAUCUGCCAUCUGGAGCUGAAUGUAUGUCAGUUUUAGGGGCAUGGUUCCGAACAGGAGCUCAUAGGUGAUUGCGGCCAUUAUGUUGACACCCGACCCGGUGUCGCAAAGCGUCUUCUGGAAGUUGUAUCCAUUAAUGGAGCACUGGAUGCUUGGCAUACCUGGGUCGUCCUUCUUGGUCACGAACGAUGACUUGAGUCAACGAUCUUGACCUCAGUGAACUGUAGUGACCAUCUUAGCUGACUCGGUCCAGACUUGCUUGUUCCUCUUCCUCCUGUUGGUCCUCUUCCUUGGUUCAUGUCGGGAUUGCUCUAGGAUUUGUGCAGUCUUGUGCUUGAAGAAAAACAUCUCCUUCCUCCCCCUGAUGUAGAAACUGAUCUUGGCAGCACUAGCGUAGAUGGCAGCUCCCGAGGUGUUCAGGAAUGGCCUCCCUAGGAAGACGGGUGCCCUCUCAUCAGUACCGGUUUCUAUCACCAUGAAGUGUGUUGGGGCAUACAAGGUACCAACUCAGACGCAGAGGUUCUUCAAUAUUCCCCUUGGGAAACUCAGUGUCCGAUAUGCAAGCUGUAAACACAUGGUUGUUUCUAAUAAACGACGCAUAAAGAAUUUUUCAUAGAGUACCCUGGGCAUAAUGUUGACGCUGGAGCCAAAGUCACAGAGUGCUUCUGGGAAGUCCACCAUACCGAUGGAGAUCAGAAUGACGGGGCGUCCUGGAACGCCCCUCUUGACCGGCAAAAGGUCAGUAGUUACUUCCACAAUGGGGUUACUCUAGUAGUUACCUGCAUCAAACAUGUCUACAAGAUUUGCAGAUUCUAAUCCUUCCGGUUGUGACGGUAUACCGAGGUUAGUAGCAGGAACAGCUGCAGCUAUUUGAUUUAACUGAGAUUCAAUCAUUUUAUUAAAGCUAAUUUGAUUCUUGAUGGUAGAAGAGAAAUUAUCCAUUCUAUUAUUUAUAUUUUCUAACAUUUUAUCAUUAGAUGCCAAUUGCUUAGAUAGGUUAUCCAUUAGCUUUCCUUGAUUAGACACUAACUCUCUCAGAGGUGGAAAAUUAUUAUUAUUAUUGUAAGAAUUAUUACCUUGAUAAUUACUUGAUUAGUUAGGCCUCUGUUGAUUCCAACCUUGAUUUUGUUGAGGACGGUUGUAGUAGUAGUAGUAGUUGUUGUUGUUGAUGUAGUUCACAUCCUCAAGCAUCCCAGGGCAGUGAUUGCCUGAGUGUCCAAUAUAUCCACACUCCUCACAAGUUAUGUGAGAGUCUUUGACGUGCAUGACUUCUUUCUUAUCUCCAGCUCUAUCAUCGAGAUUCUUCAUGAGUAGGUCUAGCUUGACAGACAGCAUGUCUACUUCCUUGAGCUGGUGCAUACCUCCACCCUUCUUGCGUGUCUGGGUCCUCUCUUCGUUCUAGCCUUGGUUGGACGCCAUCUUCUCCGCAAGAGCUGUGGCUUGUGGUAUGGUGAGUGACAGGAAUGCUCCUCUAGCUGCAGCAUCCAUGGUUUUACGGGCGCUAUUCCAAGCCCAUGAUAAAAUGUCUGGAUCAGCAGCCAGCUCUCCAUUCCAUGAUGGGGACAUUCUAGGAUGUAGUCUUGGAAGCGCUCCCAUGAUUCUGGAACGGAUUCAUCAUGUUGUUGCUGAAAACUUGUAAUUUUCCCACAGAGGGCAUUGGUCUUGCCCAUGAGAACGAACUUAGCAAGAAAGUUCGUGGAGCAGAGUGCCCACAUAGUGUUCUUCUCCUUUGUAGCGUAGAACCACUGCUUCACUCUCCCCAACAAUGAGAAUGGGAAGAGGCGAAGUAGUAUAGGAUCUCUAGGGACAUCUGACAUGGUGAAUGUGCUGCAAAUCUCCAAGAAGUGUUGGAGAUGAGCACUAGCGUCUUCGUGCGCCUUCCCACAGAACAGGUUGGCUUGCACCAUGUUGAUCAGACCAGGCUUGAGCUCAAAGUUGCGUUUGAUCUCUACAGUAGGUUCCGUGCGGAUGUUGUCCAUAGUGGGAGCUGAGAACUCGUGGAUCGACUUGCUCGCCAUGGCUUCGAACUCGGUCGACAAGUUCUGGAUGAAACUUCGGCGGUCUUCUGGUUUGGACGAAGCUUUGCGCUGAAGUGUUGACGAUCUGAGCUUGGCUCUGGUUUUUCUGAAUAAUACUUCGGGGUGGUCAACAAAAUUUUCUGGAAGAUGUCUUCUAUUCAUACAUCACCCUGCAUAAAAUAAUCAAAAUAGAAAAAUACAGGGGUAAAGCUGUAUGAGAGAAUUGAUAAUCUCAAUCAUAUUAGUGAUGCGAACGAUGACCCAAAAUUCCGUAUUCAUUCCUUAUUAGUAAUCAACCUUUCCCGGCAACGGCGCCAAAAAUGCUUGUUGGGCAUUCUUAACUUCAUUACCAAAAGUAGACUUAGUUUUCUAAUUCUGAUAAUGGUGCCAAAAAUACCGAAUCUAUCCCUCAUGCCACUUAAGCCAAGUUGUCAUCCCCAGCAUGACAUGAGAGACGCGGUAUUGAAAUAUGCAAUUGCUCUUCUAAAUGAAUAAUAAAUGAGAUCUGCAAGCACACAGAUUAUUACCGAUGUAGUUUUUUAACCGGGAAGUAUUGCAGAUAUCGUUAUUUAUAUUUUUACCACUGGGAAGGGAUUGCUAAUCAUCAAUGUUGAUUAUGGAAUGAAAUAAGGAAUUGAGUAUCUAUCAUUGCAUGUGUAAUAGAGAACAUUUGUCUAUCUCUUUCAUACAGGGAUAAAUGUCACAUAAAAUAUAGAUAAAGUAUGAAUGGUGACAAAGAUAAUUAAUCUGAUCAGCAUAACUAGCCACAUAUAAAUAUAUGUUUUCUUUUUAUUUAUUUAUUUAUUUUGAAUGAAUUCUUUCUAUUUGUGUUUCGAAUAAAAGGUGCAUUUGUUAUAUUUAUGAGUAGUCCAUAUUGCCCCUAUGAUCUUUUCUUCAUUUUUGAAUCUUUGUGAUCAUGGGUAUCAAUCACUCAUAAAUGCAUGAUAGUGUGAUAGCUUUCAGAAAGUUUUCAAAAUUCAAAACUCUAUCCCACACACUAUCACUCUGAUUCCACUGUGCAUCAUGAUUGAUCGUAACCAGGAUCGCAAAAUACUCGGAGAGGGAAGGAAAUACCCGAAAGACUGAGGCCGACUGGUGGACCUAGUGGUGCGGGCGCACCCCCAGGUCUGCCAAUCGGCCCCAAUCUUUUUCUCUUCCUCUUCUGCACUGAUUAGCAUCACGUCCAUGGUUACGAUCAAGUUGUUUCCAGAUCAGAGACUAUGUUAGCAGCUAUAAAAUCCUCCAUAGGCCUCUUCUCUUCUCACACCAACCAUUUCUCAUCUCCCGCUUGUGAAGAUUGCUAAGCUCUCCCAUUCUUCAGUAGUGACCAUGUCUAGCUAUGUGUUGGGCAUUCUUAACGUCAUUACCAAAAGUAGACUUAGUUUUCUAAUUCUAAUAACGGCGCCAAAAAUACCGAACAUAUCCCUCAUGCCACUUAAGCCAAGUUGUCACCCCAGCAUCACAUGAGAGACGUGGUAUUGAAAUAUGCAAUUGCUCUUCUGAAUGAAUAAUAAAUGAGAUUUGCAAGCGCACAGAAUAAUUCCAAUGUAGCAUUUUAACCAGGAAGUAUUCCAGAUAGGCUUUGAAGAUUUUGGUGGUUCGAGAUGUGUGCCCAUAGGUCUAUGAAAUUCAUAGAUAGACAUGUUUGAAUUCAUAAUAGACCAGAGAUCAAGGAUUAGAUAAGAAGAAAGAAUAGCAGAGAUGAGGCAAAGGAUAAAAGGAAAAUAUUUUUUUUUGUUAUAUAUAUAUAUAUAUUUUAUAAAAUGAUUAAACUAGUUCGUAGUCAACUCAGCAACCGUUUCCCCGACAACGGCGCCAAAAAUGCUUGUUGACACUUGCUAACACCACUUGAAUACUAGGUUGUCAUCCCCAGCAUGACACUAGAGUGUACUAUGGUAUUUAUACGCACACAGAUAAUCCGCAAGCGCACGGAUACCGUUGAAGCUUUUACCCUGUUAAAGGUUUUAUCGUAUCCACAGGGAAACGGGAGAACCAACUACGCUCUAACUUAACCAAGAUAGAUAGAUAGGUGUAAAUAGGAAAGAUGAUAGAAUCGAAUAAGAACAAUAUUAAAGGUAAGAUAACAGUGAGUGAUAAUAUGGGAAUAGAGAAUAGAGCAAUUCUAGUAUAUGGGCGAUGGUAGCAGAAUAGAGAGGAUAACUAUGGUUUCUCUUCUUCAAAGGGGUAUGUCUAUGUCUGGGACGAACCACGUGAUAAGUGUACACCACAAAGGAUGCUUAUCCAGAGGCCGAUAAACCCUACCCGUCCUGCUAACGAGAGGUGGACUACAGGAGACCAACGUAACUGUCACCUACGCGGCCUACCAGACGAUCCAGCUAGUCAGGGGAUAUCCACAAGUAAUCUAGGUCUAAGCACCACGCUUACACCUAUACUACAACUCUAACCUAUAGGGUCCUAUAGAUUAGAAGUACUCAAAAGAGUUGUGAACCAGAACAUACAUGAUUAGUAAUUGCAUAAUGAAUUAGAAGUAGAUUACCAGAGUCAUCCCAUGAGCAAGCUUGAUUAGAGCUUGAUCAUGGCGAAGUACAACCGGAGGAAGAACCGACAGGCCGGCCUCUCCUCUAAUCCUCCUUCGCUCUCCAUCUCGCUACUAUCUAGAUCUACUCUAGUUUAGAGAAGAGAGGAGAGCUCUCAUCUCUAAACCCUAGCUUUUGCUCUGUCUAUGAAUAAUGAAUAAUGAUCAAGGGGGUUGCCUCCUCCAGGGGCCAGGGGGUCUGGUUAUAUAGUCCCCUCAAGUGAUUCUGGGCCGUCAGAUCAAACCGACAUUGAUUGAACGGUUAUUCUUGAUCCUUUAGGUCGGUGGAGCAUAAUCCGCGAGAUUGAGCGUGAUUGGCCGAAAAAGGUGGGCGGGCGCCCUAAGGACUUGGGCGGGCGCCCUGUCCCGGACUCCGUUCGGUCUCCGCUUCCUUCCCGUGGCUUCUGGAGUCUUCUAGAUGUAAGAUAAUUGUGCGGCACGUUGAUAUCUCUAUGUAAUCCCGACGUGUGGGCCUUUCUUCCUUAUUUCCUGAUAACCCCCCGCAGAAAUAGAAAAACACCAAAACUCGUGGAAUUCUGUCAGAUAAAACCCUAAGUCUUGAUGUUGAUUUCAUUUGGAUCCUUUUCUUUGUUUAUUUGAUAGUUAAAUUUGAUAUUUAAGGACCGUCAACAAAAAGAUUCUUACUUCAUGUGCAAUUAGGAGAAUUACCCAUGAGGUUACAAAGAAGAUAACCUUUGAAGAAUAGGUCACUGACAUAAACAUUAACAGACUGCAAGAGAUGGUAGACAAGUGACACUAUUUAACUAUUCCUGCAACGAUGAUGGUCAUUUAAUGAGCAACAUUGGUCAUCCAUGCUGAAUCAAAGGACACACGACACUUAAUGUUGGACAAGUUAUCUGUUGAACAAGCAUCGAUCAUCACCAUUGUGCUUAUGAUCUAGUUUUCCUAAGUCUUGAUCUUUAUGUGCAUCAUGGUCAUACAUCUACAGUCAACCAUCUUUAGCAUGAAUCCUUAUCCCCUGGUUUUGAAGGUGACCAAUUGUUAAGCGUCAGCCACAAUUGUUGUGGUUAAGGUGGAGCUUUGGAAAUUUUAGUGCUGAGAGCCAAUUGAUUGGUUGCUAGUAACAAGGCUAAUCUCAAGCAAGGAAACGAUGGAUUGAUAGCCAUGAAGGAUAUAUUUCAUCCACUAGUGAAUCAUACUUUGGAGUUGAGAGAUGUCUUGUCAGUCCGGAAUGCUACAGUUUCAGCAUAGAACAAGUUUAGUAUGUAGAUAUUCUGCUUAUGCAAAGGGUGCCUAUUGGAGCUAAAUGGUUGGUUAGAGGUUGGAAGACUCAUGGAUCUGUAUUUCUACCAAAGUUCAUGGAAAUGUGAGUGGUAAUUGGUGAAAUAUGAACUAAAACCCAAAAUUGGUAGAACUUUGCAAUCUUCCUUUUGAUAUCGAUCAUUCUUCGUAUAUAAAGUAGUGUUGAUUUUGGUGCCAUGGAUCACAGUAUGGGCAAUGUCUUACUGCACAGAUAAUGCUUAUAUGCUGAAAUAAAAUUCUUUGUACCCAUUUGUGCUAGUGCAAAUCAAAAAUGUUUUGAAAGGUGUCAGUCAAUAGAUUUCCAAUGUUAGAGCUACCGACUAAUCUUAAAAAGGAAACCUCAAAAGCAAAAGUAGUUUCACUAGAUUGGUUUUGCUAUGGCACAAGUCAACCUAACUCUUAUGCAACUGCAUCAUGAAGAAAGAUCAUGCUUAACCUACUGGUGGUACGCUAUUUCUUUAGUUGGUUGAACACUUGCAACUAUUGGAGACAUAUAGGCCCCACUAUCAUCCUUCGUCAGUAGUGGUUAUCCAAUUUUUACAUGCCUUGGUUACCUUCUAUGUAUUGCCCAAGAAGUUACAUCUGAUCCGACCUAGGUAAUUGUUGUUGUUUGGAUACAAUAAUCCCUUUAAAGUAAAUGAUCAUGGAAGGCAUGAAACCAACAGAGUCCGCUAUCACAUUCACCGUUCUCUUAACCAGGUGGUAAGUACAAUGUUGUCAUCAGAGAAAGAGAACUGCAUGCGUGGAAAGUUGUAAUCCAACCAUGUUGGUAGAGGACUCCUUUUCAAAUCUUGUGAAUGAGUCUGGAGUCACUAUAAUGAGCAACCCUUAGAAGCUUGUGACAUAGUGCAAAGUUCAUAUGGAUUGCAUUAGUUUCACUAAAGAAGCUAAUGGUACAAGUAGCUCCUUAUGCUCUAAACCACUGUUUAUACACCAGGAACAAAGUACAUGGAACAAUUUGUCUUGGAUUCCUCCCAAAGUAACAAUGCUUCACUAAAGUCAAACAAAAAGGGAGAUUCUCCAAAUAAAGGUUUACUAUGAAGAGCAAGUAUCAUAAAAUGUUUGGACCAAGUUUGCUUCUCUAAUGUUCCAAGCAAAGUAGCCCACUGUUAUCGCUGAUGUUGGGAGAUGGAUGACAUUGUUUUCUUCCCUUGAAAGUCUUUAGCACCGAAUCUCGGGACGAGAUUCUUUUAAGGGGGGAAGGCUGUAACACCGCUGGUGUUCGUCACUUGCUAAGUACUAGGUUCGAGCUCAAACAUGACAAGCUCAAUGGUAACAAAGAGGUCACAGCCAACUUAUGAAAGUAAGCCCUAACUUGGACUUGGAUGAUGCACCUUUACUUACAUAUAGGCCCAUGUUAAAAGGUAUGCUUGGAUAAUGCUAGUGGAACUAUUUUCAUGUGUCUCAUAUCCUUCCCAAUCUAUGUUGGUCCCUGGAAAAGUUUGGUGAAGUUUGGAAUCAAGAAGUCACAUGAAAUGAUAAGUUAUAUCCUUGUUGGAAUGGCUCUAUUAAGGAAAUAGAAUUAUGGGUCAUGAACCAAAACUUCCAAACUUGCUCAUAUGACUCUAGAUGAAUUAUACAACAAAAGUCAUGAAGGGUUCAUGUUGAGCUUAUGUCAAGAAAAUGCUUCAAUUGGCCUAAAACCCUAUUUUUGGAGCUUUAUCGGGUUACUACUUUGACCAAAGUGAAAGAUUGACUUCUGUUGCAGUUAUGAGGUUUGACCCUAAAUGAAAAUUGUAGUUUUGCUUCUGUAGAAGAAACUUUAUUCAAGGGUCAAGAACCAAGUCAGCCUGCAAAUAAUUCAAACAGAGGCUCCAAGUUCGAAUCAGCUGCUGCUUUUUAUCCCUGAGAAAUAAUUCUAAGUCCCGGGAAAGUGACAGCAGCAAGUUAGCUUCUUUGUGACAUUUUAUUAUCCAAAUUCAUAUGGUAACUCAAUUAGAUUCCUUAAUAUGAGCUGGAGUACUCUUCUUGUUGAAAGCAUUGGAUCAAGUAUCAUCAAAUUUGGAGUUCAUUUGGAUACCUAAAAGUAGCUCCCAAAACAGCAAAAAGUUAUUUUAUCGCUAAACGGACAUCGACCCGUUGGCAUGCCGUGUUCUCGAGUUUUUGUUAAGCAACAAAAGUUGGUCCAAGAAUAAAAGUGGUGGACACUUACUUGGAGAGGGUCAUGUAAAAAGUUGCAUCAUGUUUGACAUGGUUUGGACCAUCAAUUCUUGGUUUUGCUAAUCACCGUCAAUACGUUGACACUCGUGACUUGGCAUCUAAUUAUCUUCUAAUCUGUUGGUCUAAUGACUGAGCAUCCUUAAUCAAAGUUGUAGUGCACAGCGAGAUGAGCAAACUUCAUUUUUGGCCAAGGUCCAAUUCGGCCCAGAAGUGGACCAAACCGGCGUCCCACCUUCCCUACUUCGCUGCACGCCACGUGCUCGGCGAAAUGCGUCAAAGGGAAAUGCGUGUCCUGGACGUGUGCACCAUGCACAGCGCCCCCACCUCCAUUGAUGAACCCCUGCUGCCCCUCUCGCGGUAUGUGAAGCCAGAGAGCGCUCUCCACCCUUCUGUUGUGGACGCCAAGCUCCCUCAUCCGCUCCCUUGCCUCUCUCCUCGCUCUAGUCCCGCUGUCUGCCGUGGACAGGAAGCGGAGCUUCAAGGCCAGGCCGUCUGAGAGCGGCUCGGGCCAAGCUGAGUGGUGUGGAGGAUACGGGCAAGCCUCCUAGUGCUUCCCCACCCCUCCAUCGUCGCCGACGAGGCCUCAGCCGGCCGGAGCAGAAACCUCCGGCGAGGUCUUUCCCGGCGACCAGGGACCUCUGGUUAGAAUAUGAAACAACACAGGGUUCCAGAUGCGAACCACAAACUCUAUGAAUAGUGCGUCUGGACUGCGGCUUGAUUUGUGGAAAACUCAGGGUUCCCGAGGCAAAAGUGUUUUUCUUUUUCUUUUGUUUUAGCAGAUUUCUGGGUGAACUUUGGAAAUGCAUAGUAAUUCAUAGAAAAGUCGUAAAAUAGCAAAUGUCGACUUUUUGAAUCCUUACGAAAUUCUCUAUGCAGUAGAUCUAUAAUAUGGCAUGGUUAAGUUCGAAGUUUUAGUCUUAAAAAUAGAUUUAUGCAGUUAGGUUUUAAUUGCUUGUUAUACUUGUCGUUUUCAUAACUGCUGUAGUAUUGCUCCAAUAAAUGCGAAAAUAUUGUGACAUGCUUUCCAUGUGAUGUUUGAUGUCUGGUAGAAGUUUCAUGAAUUUAGGAUUGAUAGAUUAAGAGUUAUAAAAAUAACAAAUGCCCUUUGUUGCUUUGCUCCUAUUCUGAGUGGAUCUGCAUGUUUGUAUUGUUUGGUUCAGUUAAGUUGUGAAUCUUGCCUGCAUGAAAAUAUAUAAGUUUUAGUACUUUUCAUGAACUUUCCAAAAAGAUAAAUAUCACAAUUUUUGGUUAAGCACAUGUUUAGUUAUAGUGGUUUAAAUUACUGUUCCAGUUUCUGUAUAAACCCAGACAGGAUUGCAUUGUUUGUAAUGUAAGACCUUGUUAGUUGUAGAUUUAGCUCUAGAUGUUUAUAAAAAAGUUGUUCACAAUUUCGUAAGCUUUCUAGAAAGUACACAAUUAUAAAUUAUGGACAUGUGAACCUCAAGUUAGAGCUGUUUAAUGUAGCAUGACAGAUUCUGUCCAUGUUUUGGACAGAGAUGUCUUUAAGAUGUUAAUUGACCUUGUUAACUGUGGAUUCAUAUUUAGAUGAUAAUAAGAAAGUUGUAGGUAACUUUAUAAGCUUUCCACAAAUAUAAGAAUUAUGUUUACUGGAGGUCUACAACUCCAGUUAUGCUGCUUCGAAUUACCUAUUAGUUUUCUGUUUGUAAUUGUACCUCUACUGUUUGGACAGCAUGAGCAGUUUUAUUUAUGCAAUUAAUUCCAUGAUAUAAAUGAUGUUUUCUGUUAAACUUUUAUAUAGAAAAGAUGUAGAUAACUUACAAAUAUAUCUUGUGGUAAAGUUUCAUAUCAUUCAGCUAAGUGGUUUAUGAGUUACAGUAGUAUGAAGUUCAUCCUUUGAAAUGCUUGUUCUCUGGAAGUUCCUGGACCAGAUUAUAUGGUCAUGCAUGUUUGACUUGGUUAACUUGUUAAUCAUGCUAAUAUGAUUAAAGAUUAAUUGCAGAUAAUUUGAUAAUAUUUCCAGAAUGUCCUAUUGCAUAGUUUUUGGAGUUGUGUAACUCCAGUUAUGAUUUAUUUACUGAGUUGCUGCAUAUAUGUCCAGAAUUGCUGAAAAUGCAUGAAUGCUUGAUUGCUUUACUUGGUGUGUGCUAACUAUGAUACAUGUCUUUAGCGGUGAUUAAGUAAUACACUUGUAAACUUGUUAAACUUGUGUUGUGAUUGAUAUGUUUUCUAAAUAUUUGGUUGUGUGAUGUUAGCUAAAUAACUUUAGAUGCCCGUGUCUUGCAUACUUUUAUGUGAUGCAUCUUGUGUUACUAUUCUUUGUAUUCAUGCACUUGCAUCUUCCAUCUCAUCUAGGUGCGCUAGAUGAAUCACGUGAAGGUCUUGGUAUGGGAACAAACCCGAAGAUGGUGUUGGGUGGACCCAUCCCGAAGGUGGAAGGACUAAGCAAGUGUUGCGACCUAAGAUGUCAUCAAGAUGGAGCAACUAACUAAACUAACUCCGUGUUGAUCCCAGGCAAGCCCCGGAGCAUUAUAAGUCUCCCACUACUUUUGAAUGCAAUUGAGAAUAUAUGUUAUAUAUGUAUUGUUGCAUUAAGUAUAGGAGUUGGGUGAACCCCUUGCUGCAUAUAUCACUCCUUGUCCAGCAAAUAUACCUAUAACCCUAUGUAGAUUCGGGAUCGAAUCCAAAUGCUUAGUCAUGCUUAGACCGGUAGAAAGCCAGGUGAUGUCCUGUCACCUGAGCGAGAUAGGUGGAUACCUGAAAAGGUUGGCUAUAUAUGCUAUCAUGGAAAUAACCAAUUGAUGAGGAUGAAUAAUUGGAGACUGGGCGGGACGAUGAUAGAGAAGUAACAAGACAUGGAGGUCUUGGGUGCCUAUCUAUCCCCGCCUGUGUCGAUUAAGGACCGAUCGUUGACGGCCCUCUUGUCAUAUUGAACGCAUGCCGCACACUUAGCUGGAAGGAUAAGUCGUUCCGACCGUGAAGCCUGAACACUAUCCGGGCCGGGAAUUGGCCCGAUGUAUGCGCUGUAUUGGUGAUGGUUGAGGAGAACGACGAGGGCGCGACGCGCAACCUUUGUAUACCUUGAAUACCUCGGUCGCCGGAACGGUCCUCGGGUACUGGCGGUACCUGUCGAACCCGCGAAUUUGUCCUGGAUAGUGUAAUACGGUGACCUGUAGCUCACUUGAUCAGUGAGUGUGGUUUGUGUGGGGAAUAAACUCGCCAGCUGGUUAGAAAUCGAUUCGAAUCGCCAUCGCUCCUGGACAAUGAGCACUUGACUUGAGCUUCAUCAUCGUAGUAAUGUUUAUGGAGCACGUGGAUGGUUAUGGUAUAAUGAUGAUGUUGGAAAUGCCACAUCGAAUAUGGGUACUACUGUUGUAUCUUAAUCAAGUGAUUGCUCUAGUACAUGUGCUAAUAUAGAUGACAGGUAAUGAUUAUUAACUUGAGCUAAAUACCUGAAAAGUUACUUACCUGUAACCUAAGCUUUUUAUGCAAAAAGUGUUGUCAAGCUAGCCCCACCAAUAAAGCCUUGCAUACUCCUUGGUGUCAUCUUAUUUCUGGUUUAUGACGGGUAAGUCUAGCUGAGUACCUUCUCGUACUCAGGCUUUAUUCCCACUUGUUGCAGGUUGUGAUGUAUCAUGGCUACUACAAAAUUUGGAUGACCCCUACCAUAUUAGAGGAGUAAGAUCAUGGGCAUGAUCCUUCUUAGUUACCUCAUCUGUGUUGCUUUUGUUGGAGUUGACCUGGAUACUGGCAUGUAUUUGAAAUGUGGGCAAUAUUAGUUUUAAAUUACUUUGCUUCCGCAACUUUUCAACUCAACUUGUAAUAACUAUAUUGAACUCCGAUGUAUGUCGAACUAUUUGUGAAAUGGAUGUAACAUAUGACUUGUUAUGUUGAAUCACUACGAUCUUGGCUUGUAAGAUGGUUGGUUUGAAAUCCCUCAUGAUUUCAUGGACUACCGGGUUUAUGAGAGUUCGAUUAUGUUAAAGCAACUGCUUUGGCGGGAGUUUUUCAUAGUUGAUCUCUUAUAGAUUGGGUGGUUCUAUUACAAACUCCUUCUAGUUCUAAUCCUAUGUAGCUAUGCUAAACUACAGAUCUAGUUGAUGUGGUGGCUCUAGGGCUUGAUCAAAGACUUCUUCUCCCGAGAUGAAAGAAUGAAUGAGGGUUUCAGAGGUGUCUCCUCCAGGGGCCAGGGGGGCCUGCUUAUAUAGUCCCUCCAAAUGAAUAUGGGCCGUCGGAUCAAACCGACUUUAAUCGCACGGUCUUCCUUAAUCCUCUAGGUCGGUCUAGCAUUAUCCACGAGGCGGAGCCUGAUUGGCCUAGGCAGCAGGGCGGGCGCCUAAGGGGGGAGGGCGGGCACCCUAUCCCUGGGCCUGCUUGGCCUCCCGCUCGUUCCCGUGGCUUCUGGACUCUUCUAGGUUAGGGAAAAUUGCGCGGCACGUAAUUAUCUCUAUGUAAACCCGACGUGUGGGCCUUUCCUCCAUAUUUCCUGAUAACCCCCUGUAGAAAUAGACAAACACCAAAACUCAUGGAAUUCUGUCAGAUAAAACCCUAACUCUGGUUGUCGGUUGCAUUUGGGUCCUUUUCUCUAUUUAUUUGUUGAUUAUAUUUAAUACUUAAGGACCAUCAACAAACUCCCCCAAGAUUACCUCUUGCUCGUCCCUGAGCAAGGAUAAUCUCAGUGAUGGAUUAGAAGUUGCUAUAAUGCCUUUGAGUCUUGACGGUACACAUGCUUUCAAAUAAGGUCUCAUCUCUGAGUUAGUGUAAACAGUCAAGACUUAAAACUUACUCAUUUUACCUUUCACCAUGGGACUUGUAACCAUCACUUCUGUCUUGAGCAGUAAAAAGAUAGAACGGUCUAGUCAAGCGCCAUGUCUUUUAUUCUUGAUCAGCAAUAGCUCUGGAGUUUUUGCAGAUUUUGAAAUAAAACUCAGAGAUUCCUUGUAUGACUCUCUCAGAUCUCUCUUUUGUGGUAUUUCUAGAUCCUUGCCAAGGAAGUGAUGGUAUAUGCCUUCUCUCAAAGUAUGUAGUAUUUGUGGUAUGAAGCAUAGUGACCUUGCCUUCACUCUCACCCUACUUUAAUAAGGCUUUUGAUAUCUGGAGCUCAUAGGUGGGAGAUAGAGUAUACAUACUUACAAGACAUUUAUUGCAUAGUCAAACCAUGGAUCUAGAGGAACAAGUCAAUAAGUAAAAUCAAGAUGUGCAUGUGUGGCGAAUGAAUGGUGUAUGUUGAUGAUGGUGAUAACAAUGGUGAAAGUCUAAUUCUACUUUUUGCUCUUUUGAGGGGAUACAUACCGUUCUUGCUCUUUUGAAACUUUUUGAGGAGAAUGAGAUGCUCUACAUUUUCUUUUUCUUUCCUCUCAGUUGGGUAUCUUGUACUCCUAAUUCUACGGUCGGACACUUGUCCAUUUUUACCUCUCGUCUCACUUUUUCUUUUCCUUUGAGGUUCCGGGCACUUGCCCCUUUUUAUUUCCUCAUAUCCUUUCUUUUUUUUCUUUUUUUAGAGCACUCAUCUCCUAAAAUAAUAUAGCAAGUGGUGGUAGCCAAAAUAACUCGAGCAUUUAUUUCAUAGGGAAAAAUAGAAAUAGGAGAAUGUUUUUGGCUAUUCUCUCCCGGAUUAGGAGUCGAAUACUUUUGGGUGGCUCUGGAGAUGGAAAUGAGUGGAUAUAUAUGAAUGCGUACUUCUAGAGUAGAAGCAACAUGUGUGAGUGAACGUGCAAGUGAAUCUUGAUUUUAACUGCAUGACAAGCUCCUAAGGGUCUACACAGCUUGACCACACUCAAUGCUCAUAAGCAGUAAAAAGUAAAUGUGUUGGCUCAAAGUCUAGCAAGCAUGUAUGUAUGGCUGUGGUAGGAAUUCAAACUCUCAUCAUACAGGAACUCAUCAUGUGAUAUAUUAAAGAUUUUCAAAGAUAAAAUUCUCUAGAUUUCUAGCAUCUCAAGGAAUAGAUAAACAACAUCUCAACCUUCCAUAUCAUAUCUGUUAACAACUUAGACUUCAGAUCAAGUUCUCUUCGCACAAGUUCAGGUUUUUAGAGAAAGCUUUAAAUUAUAAUAGUUAUGUCUAAACUAGAGAGAGAACUUCAAAAUUGAAAAUUAGGCAGAGCAACUAUUCAUCAUAUCCAUGCUAGAGUUUUAUUAAGAUUUAGUUUACAUAGCCACUUUAUUUAUUUAUUAAGCACACUAAGCAAAAGAUAUAUAUAUAAGCACAAAAUCUUUAUUUGGUUUUUCAUGGUUAUGUAUAUUUUUUAUUUUAAUAUAGUAUAAGUAUAAAUGUAGAUAGAAAUACAUAGCGGGGUUAAUGGGGGUGCUCUCCCCCAAGCUAGAUUUUGACGUAAUUUCUUCUGAUGUAGCUAGCAGGUGGUGGAGGUGUAUUUGAAAGUCGGCAGCACCUGAGAGCAAUUUGAAUGUCCUCCGUCUGCUAGUCUUCUUGAUCCUUGAAUUCUGUGGAGCUCAAAUAGACAACAAAGCUUUGUGGAACUAAUUAGGUGUUAGCAUAAAUAUAUAGCCUUUAUCAUGUUGAGCCUCCUCAAUAAAUGCUACUUUCUUUGGUAGGAUCACAAUUUUAUUUUUAUAUUUACAUUUUUAUAGAGCAGAAGAAUAUUUUUAUUAUUUGUUAUGCCACCACAGUGAAUGUACUUAUGGGUUUUAUGCCACUUGUAUACUCACAAGGGGCUUACUGGUUUUAACAUUUUUAUUUUUCUUUUCAAGAUGAUAUGAACCAAAUUAACUGAACUAGCUAUUUUUAAUAAAAAGUAAAUGAUUUAAAAGGAAAGGUAUAACUACCAAGUUUAUCUCUUGGGAAGGCGUUCGGUGUUUUUAAGUCCUCUGAACGGGACUCUCUGUUUUCUCAGUUGUCCGGGGAUUCGCUGGAUGGCGUAGUCAGUAGUUCCGGCGGUGCCACCUCUUUGUGUAUAACUAUCUUCUCUCUCCACACCUAACUCGGUGCUACGGUCUUCUCAGGAUAGUUCUGUUCAAGCUAUAUGUCUUAAGACCUUACCACUUCUCCUUCGUAGUCUGCCCAUCCAUCCUUGCUGAUUUGCCUCCUCUGGUUGCGAUUGCGUCGUCUUCCUCUUGUCCUGACUUGCUUAGAGUCUUCAACUAUAUAGUUAGGGUCAGUAAAAUAGCGGCGUACCUUCCCAGAGGGGAAGUGCAUGUGGACUUCUCCGGUUCCAAUGUAGAUGAUUGUUUUAACGGUGCUAAGGAACGGUCUCCCAAGGAUGAUGGGUGGAUCGUACUCGUCUUCUCCCAUGUCAAUAACCUGAAAAUCUGUAUGGACAAAAUCAUCUUCUAUUUUGACAGGGACAUCAGUUACUAUUCUGUAUGGAGCACUGGAUGCUUGGCAUACCUGGGUCGUCCUUCUUGGUC